UUAAAAAAAAAAAAAAAAAAAAAAAAAAACCUAAAAUUUGGAUAUUCCUCAAAUUAAUUUUAUUCUUACACAUCAAUAUUUUAUUUUAGAUUAUUAAUCUUUAUAUUAUUUUAUUGAAAAAGAAAACAAAUGAGAUAUUGUUUAGCGUAAAGGGUAAGAAGGAUAGAGGAGACUUAAAGGAAGCAUGAUAUCAAUCAUUUUUGCUUCAUUUUCCAUUUCUUCUAUUUCCUAUUAGCUUUUCUAAAAUGUGACACAAGAUUUGGUACCCAUCAUUUAUAGACUUAUAGUCUUUAUAGUGAUAUUGCAACCAUGAUUAAAAUAUGUAUACAUAUGUUAAUAAUGUGUAAUCCUGCAACAUAAAAGGAGACCAAUACAUGGAGUUGAAGCUCGGUCCAUGUUGAAAAGCCCAUCAUAACGAUAGCGGUGUCUUGAAGUCCAAAAGAGUGAUUAAACGGGCUAACAUAAAGUUGCAUUGUAUGGGCCGAAACGAAGCCCAAACAGAAAAUGCUGGAUAUCAUUUGCAUUUUCUUUAGAGCACCCAAAGUAAUUGAGGAGGAAAAUGAUUCUAAUCCUUUAUUCAAUAUAAAAUUAAUGUUCUAUACAACAAAGUGUAUCUUCCACAUUUAAUAAUAAAAAAUAAAUAAAUUGUGUUAGAAUAAACUUUAAUCUUGAUAAUUUGUAAGUUGAGUCUGAUAUAUGGAAAUAUAAGUAUGAGUGGUGUUUAAGUGCAAAAAAUAAGAGGAUAUGGCAAUAGAUAGAACUAUUGAAGGGAUGUAGAAUUUGAUGAUUAGACCGUCGUUUUUUUUAAUGACUUUAUCAUGGAAACCGUGUGGGUCCUUUUUUCGAUUUCAAGUUCCCUAAAAUAUUAAUAUUAAAAAAGUGUAUAUAUUAGAAGAAAAGAAAAUGAGUUUCGUUAUUUGGCCAACUAACGAACCCCUAUCUUCUCACACUACACACUAGAGAGUCCCUACACAUCAAAUUUGGCCCCUCGUUUUUGAGACUUUCCAAAAGAAUAAAUCUUACUAUAUCUAUAUCUAUAUAUAUACACACACACACAUACAUUUUCUGAUGCUUUGGUGAACGGAGAAGGAAUUGAUUGAGAUGAUGUUCCUUUUUCGAAUAUCGUGUUGAAUAUGUUGGUGUAAUUGUUGAGUUCAUCAACUCAGUAGAAUUAGUUAAUGUGAAAAAGUAUGCUAGACAUGCUUAAUUUGGUGAAAUUUUGGAAUUGGAUCAUGCAUGGUUUUUUUUUUUUUGUAGUAAUUGAAGAGGUAGAUAUACUUUUGGACAUGCUUCAUUUGCUUUGCUGUUCUUCUUUUGACACAUUUGACAUGAUGCUGAACUUCUCUCGCUCUCACUCUCUCUCUUUAUGUAUAUAAAAUUCUAGAAAUAUAGCAAUCCAAGUACCCUUGCAAUGAUUAAAUUAAACAAAUUUUGGUAAAAAUAUGGUCUAAAUGUUGUUGGUUAAGUACUCAUAUGUAUGUAUAUAAUAAGAGUGAAAAAGAUCAAUUUCAUAAGUUGGAUUACAACGGAUAAAUAGACAUAAUGAAGAUCGACUCAUAGAGUUAAUGACGAUGAACAAGUAAUGGCAAAUGUACAUAUAUUAGACUGACUAUAUGUGUAUGAAUCCAUCUAUAAAAUUAUGUUGGUAACUCUUAAAUUAAGUUUUUUUUUUAAUGAAAACUAAUUAUUUGAGAGAUUAAUUAACUAAGUAAUAGUAACGAAAUUAAUUUAUUUUAUAUAAUCAAAAAAGUUUUACACAUUUUUUUAACAGAUAACAUCAAACCAAUUAAAGAACUACAUUAUUAGAAACAAGAGAUUUAAACCACUCAAAAAACGAGAAAAAAAUAAGGAAAAAGUUUUCUCAUGAAAGACAAGGAGUGGACUAAGGCAUCAUUCCAACGAUGAACAUGAACGAAAGAUACAUCACCCACAUCUUGAGCAAAAGACUUGACCUCAUGGGUGAAAUAUGAGGCUUUUAUCAUAUCCUUAUAAAUACCGUAAUGGUUAACAACCUCCAAACAAUCAAAUGAUGUAAUGAUAGGACGAACAUUAAGAGAAAUAAUGCUAAGAAAUCAUUGACUAAUAGUCAUGGCUUCCAAGACCUUGACUUUGUUUACAACUUUUGAUAAACUUGAAUUCAACAAUACGAAUAAGACCCAAGUGGUCUCGAAAGCAUCCAACGAAAGCCACGAAAGCGCCAAUCAAAGCUCCAAGGCAACUUCUGAGUAUUCAACUUUUAUUGGUUUAUCGAGUGUGGAUACCAAACCAAUUGGAUAAGGAAGAGAGGGAUUAAACUGAUUUUCUUCUUAAUAACUUUGCUAAUAGAUGUCAUAUAAGGAGGAUGCUUUUCAUAGAUACAUCGAUCAAUAGACACAGUGAUUGAAUUAAAAUGAGUAGAAAUAUAAACGAACUAUUCCAGAUCACCUAAAUCUUCCAUGCAACCAAUACAACCAACUCCCAACUCCUAUGACGAGACAUGACCAAGAAUCCAAGCCCAAUAAUCCUAGUUUCUCCACCCCACCCUGUCAUUACAAAUAGUAUCCACGCAACGAGAUACAUAUUAAAUUCUCUACUCUCUAACUCUCUCUCAAUGAUUACUAGAUCAACAAAGUGAGAGUAGCCAAAGUACCACAUGAGUGUAAAUCUUUCCUCUAUCAUGCUAGCGAUUGUUCGAUUAUGUUCAAAAAUUACAAAUUCACCAUUUGUAUUAAAUUUUACGUGUCAAUAUUAACUUCUUGAUUUUUUAUUAUUAUUAUUAUCAUUAUAAAAAUUUAUAAAUUGAACUAAAAUGCAAAAAUAUAACACAAAAUUCACGAAAAAUAGAGAGGUGGAUUUAUUUUUCUUUUUUUCUUUUUAAUAACUUUGACAUCAAAAAAUUAUUAACAUAUCAAACUAGGCCUUUUUUUUUCAUUAUUAUUAGAGCUUAAGAAAAAACAAAGAAAAAUUGAGAGUGACCUAUUGAGAUCUAAAAAUCUUGAAAACUAUUUAAAUGUAAAGAAAAUAAUAUGAUUAAAUAGGGGAUUAGAUGAGAUUAGAUAGAGGACCCACCUACAAUUAAUAAUUAAACAGCCUGCCCCUUUGCCUUAAGCAGUUAUAUAUAUAUAUAAACCAAAUAAUAAUAAUUAUUAUUAUUAUUUGUAAGUAAGAAGUAAGAAGAAAUUGAUAUAUUGAAAAAAGAAUAGGAAAAGAAAAAGAAGGGAAAAUGAAAGGGAUGUAUUGUUAGUAGUGAAUGGAGCCCACGCGGUUGUAAUAAUAAAGAUUGGAAUCUCUUCCUCUUUAUCAUUUUCUUAGGCUUCCCCAAGCCCUUCAUAUGACCCCACGCCCACACCAUCCCCUUCCCCUUCCCCUUCCUUACACACUCAACUAAACUAAACUAAACUAAACUUAUGCAUUCCUUUUUCCCUCCUUCAAUACUAUUACAAUAACCCCAAUCAUACUUCCACACACACAAAUCUUUUUAUUUCUACUUCAACCAAACAAUGACCUAUUUUAUAACCUUACUUAAACUCAUGUUGACUCCAUUCCAAUAAACACAUUCAAACCCAAACAAAGCUACAAAAAUUAGUUUGAAUUUCUCAAAUCACUCAUAAUUAUUGCUACUUUUGUGUCCCAACAUAUUUAGUUUUACUUAUUAGAUCAAUUAACGAACAUAUGUGGUGAUGUUAAUUGAGUUUUUGUCAAUCCAAUAAUAAUGAUUACAAGAUUGAUAAAUGUUUUGAUGGACACGUACCCAAGCUAAAUAACGUAAAAAUAACCAAAAUUGUAUUAUCAUCUAAACUUAAUUAUAAUUAAUUAAACAAACUCAAUCUACCUAUUUUAACCUUAACCUCAAUCUAAUCUUGUUGCACCAAAGAUGGUUGCCCAAGCUUUAAUCUUUUAUAUAGUUUGUAAUUGAAAAUUAAAAAAGAACUAUAUCACAAACAAACUACGUACUUUGGUUGUUUGGUAUGAACUACAUCAAACUACAUAUAUUCGAUUUAUUGAUUUGAUUAUGCAUUUUUUUUAUAUUCAACUUUCUUUUGUUUUUAGUGGAAAUUGAGAGUCAUUGAGAUGUUUGGCUAGAGAGAGAACGACUAGAAGGAAAGCUCAUUGUGUCUAGAAAGAAUUUACGGGAGGGAAAUUCAAACAUUCAUAUCAUGGAAAUAUGAAAUGCAAAGAUAAAAAAUAACUAGCUGGGAGAUUGAGAAAAUGAAAACCAACUCACUCCAACUAGAAAAUGAAAAACGAUGGUGUGAGUAUUGAGUUGUGACUUGUGAGUCGUUUGACACUCAAUAACAAUGACCAAGGAAGAGAUUAUUGAAGAGCUCCGUCAACAACUAUGAGAAUAAGGUUUAGAAAAGGCAUGCAUUUUGAAAAUCACGGUAAGUGACCAAAUAGAAGUAGACACAAUGGGUAGAGGUGAAAUCCAAAACCAAACCAAAUAAAGAAAAUGAAUUUCUUAUUAUUUUAAACGAAAGUGAACAAAAUGUUUAGCAAAAAUCGAAUUUUUGAUAUUCUCUAUUCAAUUCGAUUCCUUUCAGUUUGGUUGAUUUUAAUACUAACUCAAACCAUGUGUCCAAACACGUUACAUUAUUUAUAAUUUAUAUUAUAAUAAUCUGAUAAGAUGAAAGAGUUAAAUGUGAUAGGAAGAUUAAUUACAACAUCACAACCACCAAAAAAAAGAAUGAAUAUAAAAUGGAAGAGUGAAGGGGUAGUAAAAAGAGGAAUCUAAAAUUUCUUUAACAAUGUCGGAUAUAAGGAUUAAAAUCAUAAUGUUUAUGUACAAAAGAGAGAUAGCAUAGCACACACUAAAGUCUAUGCAAAUAAAUUAAAAUUAAAACAAAGAAGAGAAGGGGUCAAAAAGAUUAAUGACAUUUGAUUCCUUUGGUAUUAUAUAAUAUCAAAUAAUAAACCACUUUUGUUUUUGCUUUUAAAAAGGGAGUGUUUCAAUAUUCAACAAUCUCCAAAGACUCUCAUUAAUUUCUUCUUUAGUGGUUUGGAUUCACAUUUGGUUCCACUUUUUUUCUUUUCUUUUAAUAUCUUAGAAUUGAAUCAAUAAAUAAUAUUGUAAUUAAAGAAAUUAAAAUGGAUCACAAAGAAUCUUCAAAAAAAAAAAAAAGAAAUGGGUUGGACAUUAUUUCUCAUUCUUUAAACUUUGGUUUUGGUUAAUUUUGUACUAAAUUAUGGUUAAUAUAAUAUACACCAUGAUCAAUGAUUAUGUUGGUUAAUGCAAUCACUUGUAAACUAAGCCAACCCCUCCCUUUCCUAUUUCUAUGUUUUUCUCCUUUCCCCCUUUUUUUCUUUUUCCCCCUCUAAAUUCAUUCAUUUCCUCCCCAUUUUUUUAAGUUAAAAAAAACCCAACAAAUGUUUGCAAAUAAAGUUUUUUUCUUUCGAUAAGUUAUUCGAAGUACACCAUUUUUGUCAAACAAACCUUUGAUUGUAUAAGAAGUUCGAUGAAUCCUCUCUAACCUGAUGUCUCUAGUAAUCCUCUUUAAUUCUUAAUUAGCAUGUUUAUUUUAUGAUGAAUGAAAAAUGAUCACGUCAUUUUUUUCUUUAAACAAAAUAGUCUAUUGUAAUUAGGUUUCAAAUAUAGUUGAAUGUAUAUGUGUUGUUGUUUUUAUUUAUAUGUUCUUUCAAGAUCUUAUUUAUUUUCAAACUAAAGAUUGUUCAAAAAAACAACUAAAAAUAGGAAGAAGAAGAAAGCUAUUGAAUCACUAUUGUAGAAAAGAGAAAUGAAAAGAAAUAGAAAUGAUUUAAAAAAGAAUAAAAAUGAAAAUAAAAUAGUGGAAGAAGAAAAAAGAGUUGAAAAUGGAUAGUUGAAAGAGCCGUUUCCUAGGGAUUUGCUAAGAUAACAUAACAUGGCGUUGCUAUUACAAAAAAGAAAAGCUAUUAAACACAUCAAUGCCUUUGCCUUAAGAUAAUUACGUUUUUGAUGGGACAUAAAGUAUACCAAUCCCAUUUCAUUUUUAUUUUUAGUUUUAGUUCUUCCCUCUCUCUCUCUCUCUCCUAAAAUUCAAACUUUUAAAACUCCAUUCAUAUUUUAUAAAUUAAAAUUUAUACUUAAAUGACAUUUUAUAGAAAAACAGUUUAAAAUGAUAAAAUUGUUUAAAAUAUAGUAAAAUAAAACAUGGUAUAUAAAUUGUUAUAUUUGUAAAUAUUUUGAUCCAUUUUUGUCACUUUUACAUCUUGAUUCGCCUUACAAAUCUAACAGAGGAUGCGAUCUAAACAAAAUUAACACCAUGUAAAGAAAUGACAACAACGUUAUAUGAGUCAACCGAUAGUGGACAAAAACUUAAAUAAUUUUCUUACAACGUGUACAUGGUUUACAAGAUAUACCUACUACAAACUUAUCUUAUAACUUAUGAAGGCUCUAUUCUCCUAUCUAUAUUAAUCUAUUUAACGUUGAUUUGUCAUCUUAAAACUUUUCAAAUUCGAUCAGCUCCUACUUAGCUCUUAAUAGAUGUCUUCCCUUAAACAUGUUUAGUUCAAAUUAAUUAUCAUUAUGUUAUAUCAAGUUCUACUUAAGUCUUUCACUAUCGUGCGUCCUACUUCACUUAACACUUCAUGGUCGUAAUUUCAACUUAGUCUAAUCGCCUAAUCCUUGACUCCAUGAUCUUGGUUGCCUUCUUUCGAAACUUCAUCGCCUAAACCUUUUGUUGCCUUUGUAUAGGUUCUUGUCGCUUGCCACAAAAUCAUAACGUCUUUACAAAAAAUAAUAUUUACAAGUUAUUACUAAAAACGUCUAACAAUACUUCACAUUUUGGCUUUCAACUUCGAUCCAUCACAUCCCUUCAACGCAAGAGUUCUUGCCGCCUACUUCCAAAAUUUACAACGCCUAACUCCUCCUUUCCUUGGCAGGUAUGUCACAAAUUCUGAAUGUCUAGUACAACUUUCAAAACAUUCAACUCUUAUGCAACACACUCAACACCUUGAGGGCAAUUCAUUCCAAAGCAUGAGUAUCACAAUUUUGCUAUAUUUUGAAACAAUUUGAAUUUUUUUUAUUACAUAGUUCAAUUAACUAGAAAAUGAAUACACAACUUGUUUUCGACCAAAUGACUUUUCAAUCUCCAUGUCUAUUCCAAUUAUUUAAGGGGAAAUUUUUCAUAUAUUGUACACAAAUUUGAAUAAAUAUAUACAAAGAAAUGUAAGAAGAAUAAUUAGAUUGGGUAUCUAAGUUUUGUAGAUAACUAAUAGGCUAAUAGUUAGGGUCCCACUUUAAUAAACAAAAUUAUCAUUAGGGAUCUUUUUUUGCAUAUAUUGUUCAUCAUGCUCUUCAUAUUGUAACUAAAUUUGAAAAAACAAAAUUCAUCAUUUAAAAUACUUCAUUUCAAAAAGCAAUAAUAAUUAUAACCAAUAAUGAAAAUAUUUUAUCACAACACCACAAAACAUCCUACAUUUCAUAUGAAUUGUGCUCUAUAUAUAUCCUUAGUUAAAUAUGUUUGAAACUAAAGCAAAAUUGAUCGUCUUUUUUUUUAAAGCAUGAGGUUUAUGGUGGGUGUUGAAAAAACAAAUGUCAAUCAUUGUUAUAUCGUAUCGAACAACUGUCUUGGAAGCAAAAUUCGACGGAAUCUUGAUAUUAAAUUACAUAUAUCGGUUGCUUUUGAUUAAGGUUAACACAAAUUUUUCACUUUUCAAUUCAUGUGUGCACUCUUUGCAUUAAAGAAUGAAAAUAUAUACGUAGAUUUAAUUUUAUAUUUACAAGGGUCAAUGUACUAAAAUGUAUCAUUAUAACCAUAAAACAAGGGUUCUUAUUGAAAAUGAUUUAAAAUCUAUUUUUGGAAUACCAAACUCAUUUCAAUCCAUUGGUUUUCAAUCCAAUCAUAUCGUCUACAGUUUUAUGCUACAUAUGAUUUUGGUUGGAUCGUGGAUGUUCAUGCAUUUCAAUACUCUUCUAAUUUUGAGUACAACUUUUAUAUGAUAAUUUAAAAAGAGAUUCGGAGAGAGGUGUUGUUGGUGAUUUCUCACAAGACAAAGACUUUUAUAUUUCAUUUGUAAUUGGAACUGCAAUGGAAAGUGUUAUAAGAAGGUCUCAAUCUCAAACAUCACCUUUUCUUCCCUUUAGGAAAAAAAAAAUGUAGGUGGGAAAGUUUGGUUACCAGCUUCUUUCUCUGACCACUCAAAGUUGCUCUCUUCUUGACUUUCUCUCUCUAAAAACCACAUAUAUUUUCAAUUCACAAAUGACAAUGAAAGCUCUAAUUAAUCUCUCAAACUUUGUGGGGUUUUCCCAUUUUUUCUUAGUCUUCACUCACUAUCUCCCAUUGCACAUGGCUUUGCAUUACCCUCCCUUAUAUUUAGUCAGAAAUGGAUGCAUCAAAAAUAUCCCACAUGCACCCUUUAUAUAUAUAUAUAUAUAUAUAUAUAUAUAUAUAUAUUUUAAUUUAACUAAAAGAUUGUAAAUAAUAUAUUAAUCGGAGUAUAUAUAUCCUCAAAUAUAAAUUUCAGUGUCAAAUUCAAAAGUGUUUAAAUCAAACUGCAAUUAUAUAUAUAUAUAACUCAAAGUAAAAGGGUUAGGCAUGAACGUUACAUUCAUUGAAAUAAUAAUGAUACAUUAGAGAAGCAAUAGCUAUAUUUAACAUUUAAUGAUUUGACUCUAAAUAUUGAAAAUUUGAAUAAUAAAUCAAUGUUAAAAGGUGAGUGAGAUUAGAUUAAAUAAAAUAAAAUUAGAAGAGAAAUGAAAGGGUGAUGGGUGUGCACACAGUGCAAUAUAUUGCAUGGAAGACCGGUGGUUUGGUCGAUUAUUCAAAAGGAAAGAAAAUUUUAAUUAACUUUUUGUGUUCAAAUAAAAACAAAAAAUCUCUUGAAAUUCUAAGAAAAAGUUAAAGAAUCUUUACCUAAUAUUAGCUUUCAAUUCUUUACAUUAUACGACUUCCUGUUUAAAGUUGUUGUGCAAUGGCCCAAAACCAAAAUUAUUAUUAUUAUUAACUAAAUAAUAACCAUUUGUACUUUUUUUAAAAAAAAAAAUAAACUUAUAACAUUUUAAAUGGUUUUAUAUUAAAUUAUAAAUUUAACUUUUGAAUCUAUUGAGCCUAAAUUUAAUCUCCAAAAUUUGACCUAUUCAAUUUUCAGAAAAAAAAAAAAAUACAAUCAAAGAAAUUAUGAGAUGGAGGCAUAGUUGCCUUAUCCAUUAAAUUAAUUUGGUUACGUAAAUAUAUACUCUUUUAGAUUUAUAGUAAGAAUUUUUAUUGCAAGAUUUACGGUAUAAUUAAUUAUAAAAGGAUUAAGAUUUGCCGUUACUAUAAAUAUAUGAUAUGGUCAAAGAUUGAAAAUGAAAAAUUAUUGCAUGGAAAGAGAGUUUGUCUUUGUAUACAAUUGGUCAUUAGGGAUUGUGAAUAUGUACAAAAUUAGAGUUUGAUAAAUUACCCAAACAAUUACAUUUUUUUUUUUUUUUUUUUGUCUUUCCUAAUUAGAAUUUAGAGUACCAACCAUAGAGAAAUAUCAUUAAACAAAAAUACUUAACUUCGAAAUAAUUCAUGACCGUGGCGUUGAAUUUUUGCAAAGUAUUAAAUUUGGUCUCACUUUUAAAAGAUAAAAAAAAAAAUAGAUUUUAGAGUUUUCUACAUAUAUAUAUAUUUUUAUUAAUAUUCUGUUAUUUUUAGUAGUGAGAGAUUUUUGUGGAAAGUUUUUAUCUUUUUUCCACUCUUACUUCCUUCUUUUCAAAUUACAUGAAAAAAAUGAAAAUGAAAACAAAACAAACAAAAAAAACAUUAAAUGAAAGAAGAUAAAUAAAAACAAGCUCAGCUGGAUUUAUUAUGAAGCAGGCAGCCCACGUGUAAGAAAAUUCAAAGAUUAGAUUUGAAGAAGAAAGAAAGAAAUUAUGUAAUUAACACAACAAAAUUAAUAAUAAUUAUUGAUUAGAAGGUUUUGGGUAUUUCUGAUGGGUCCUUGUGUGGUUAUACUCGUUCAAGUUGCAGUAAAAAGCAGAGUCAUAAUCAACUAAAGGUUUUAACAUCGUAAUUGAGAUUAAAACAUAGAUAGAUCAGCUUUUUUUUUCAUUCCCAAACUCUCUAAUUGGCAAUUACUUAUAUAUGGAAUUUGUUAACAGAUCUUUGUAGGAUUCUUUGUGUAUGAAUCAUAGGAUGUUAGGAAUUGGCUUCUGUUAGGUUCUUGGCGGUUUCUGCUUUUUCUUCUUCACAAAAAGCAACAAAUCUGUCAAAAGAAAACAGUGUCAUUAUAUACAUUUCUUAUAAGAACUUCAACAACUGCCAGUCUGAAACCACAUCUCUCUCUCUCUCUCUCUCUCUCUCUCUCUCUACUUUUUCUUCUCUCAAAUUUUUGGAGUUCAGUUAUGGAAAACCAACGUAGUGCUCUUCUGGGUUGGGCUUACUUUUUCCAAGGAAAGGUAAAAAAGCUUCUUCUUUUGUCACUAUUUGUUAGAAUUUGGCUUCUGGGUUUGUUUCCAAUUGUCAUUUCUUAGGUGGUUGUGUGUGCUUUGAAACAGAAUAUUGAAGAAUUGAGGCAUUCGCUUUUCUGCGCGACUCUCGAGUUGGAACAAACGAGAGUUGCAGUUCAAGAGGAGCUAAGAAAGAGAGAUGAACAGUUAAUUCAUCUCAAGGAUCUUUUCAGCAAAGCCAUUAGAGAGAGAGAUGAAGCUAAUGAAAAGUUUCAGAAGUUACUCAUUGAGAAGCUUUUACUACAGCGGCAGCAACAGCAGCAAAGAACUGACCCUCAUUCAGGAAUUUCCAGCAUUGAAGAUGAACCAAAGAAAGGGAUUGAUUCUAUCAAUGGCUUUUCCUUGUCAGAUUGUGAAGAAAGCAUUGUCUCAUCUCCUGCCAUUGACCCAAUUCCGCCACCACAGUUUCCUCCAACUAUACCGCCACCGCACAUCGAGGUGGAAUUGGUUCCAGAGAAGCCAUUGCCUGAAAAAGGCAAGCUCUUGGAAGCAGUGAUGAAAGCAGGUCCUUUGCUUCAGACUCUACUUGUGGCUGGACCUCUGCCUGAGUGGAGACAUCCACCACCACCACUUGAAUCAUUCGAAAUCCCGCCGGUGACAAUUCCAUCGACACCUCCGUCGCACAUGCUCCGAGAUUCUCCAGUUACCUUCAACGGCAGUAGCCACAUUACCAAUUGUGGAAACAGGAAAAGGGCUUUCUUGGAAGGCUCUGAUUCUCCAACAGAGACAAAGUGUCAAAGGCUUGCUCCUUGCUGACAACUACAAAAACAAAGGACAGCAAAAAAACAUAAGCAUAGUCUAAUAUUAGUAAAGAGCUAAUUAAGAUGAAAAAAGAAUUGGGUUAGUGGCUGAUUUUAGUGGUUGUACAGAGGUUUAUGUUAUAGGUAAGAAACUCUCUCUUUCUAGGUAUGAGGAAGCUACAACAGAGGAAGUCUCCCUCUACUUUCCCCCUUUCUGUCAUCACUCUGACUGAGUUGCCUAGAGUGAAGUUUUUAUGGCCACCCUUUUACUUCACACUCAUCUUUUUCUUUUUCAAACUCCUGAGAAACGGAGUCGAAUUUUUCCAGAAUUGUUUUUAGCUAUAUUCUAUUCCAAUUCUGAGACGUCUCCUGUCUGAUUUGCCUCUCUAAAAUUUCAGCAAAAACACAAUAUAACAAACUCACCAAACAAAGUCUGUUGGCAAAAGUGUCGCAGGUUCAAUUAUAAUAACCAUUAUCAAUAAUUUGCUGGUUUAUGUAUCUCACGAUCAACUUCAAUAUUACCUGUGCCUAACAAGUAUAUCUAAAUACAUUAGAGGUCAAUAAACAUAGAAUCUGAUCUUUGGGACUACCUUGAGAAAUGAGAGUAAGGUGCGGGGGUUCAUAUAAUAAAAAGAAAUUUUACGUUUUUAUUACAAUGGUAUGAAGAACAAAUCUAGAGAGUUUCGUCCAUUUCCAAAUGCAGACAAGGAAGAUAUAAAAUUUACUCCGAAAUCUUUGCCAAUUAACCUCAAAAUUGCUAUACAAGAAACAAAACAGCCCAUUUCAGCACAACCCAUGUGAAAGCAGAGCCCUGUUUCUACCCCAGUCAACAAGGAAGACUAAACAGUAUACAUAGCUUGGCCUCUGAUCGUGACUGCUUUGAUCAAACAUUCAGACCGGAAAACACUUAGGUUCUUUGGUUAUCGCUUCAGUCCGAGCUUCUUGAAGUCGAGAGCACAUGUAGACGAAAGUCCAGGCUCAUCAUGGAAAGGCCUAAAAUCCAAAGAUAACCUUGAGAUGAUAUUAUUACAAGGAUGAUCUCAACACUCAUCUAUUUGCAAUUGUAGUGUCCCCUAGAAAGAAACAUAAUAUACCACUCAACGAUUAAAGGUGAUACAAGAAACAGCUCAUGUAAUAUUAAAAGUUAUAUAAUGUACAAAUGUCAAGAAAUUCAUUUCACAUUUUUGUCUACAUUUUUAAAGAUGAUUUCAGAACAGAUGUGGGCCCAUGAAGCUCUUAGCUCAACAGCAGGAAAACAUUUUAUGCUAUUACAAGGAAUAUCGAGAUCGGCUAAGCUAAAAUCAUCGGUUGAACCUGAAGCAUAUCCCCCAAGGCCCAAGCAGACAUGACAUGUGCCAUGGCACCAUGACCAGAGUCACCAGACAAUGUAAUUUGCCAUUUGCCAAUAAUUAUCCGGUUGAAAACCGACCGAGCAACGCUUUUAGAAAGAGUUAAAACUUCAAUACUUAGUCGUCUCCAUUGUCAUCUUGAUUGUUCUGGUGGUUGUGUUUCUGAGCAUUAUACAUGUCGGCAACCUAAUUUCAAAGAAGGAAUUUGAGUUAGAAGUAUUACACAAGAACAGUAUUGAAAAAUUCAUGGAACUAAAGCAUAUACUCCUUAGAGACUGAAAAGAAUUAUAGAUAUGUUUUAAAUAUUUGGGAUGCUUCAGUUUUCCUCUGGCUUGGAGAUCUUGAUUUUUCCUUUUUCCUUUUUUUCCCCAACCGUUCGUUUACUGUCACUUGGACCACUAGAUAAGCUCUUUUUUUUUUUUAAUUUCCUUAGUUUUCUGAGAGGUUUUCUCCUUUCUACCCUUACGAGUUACUUGCCCUUUCCUCCCACCAAUCCCAUCCAUGCACCUUUUGCUCUUUUAGUUGGUUAUUUCAUCCAUUGAUAAUUGUAUCAAAGAAAGCAUGAACGAGGGUAUGCAAUAAGAUUUACCUGCUCUGAUGAUGAGGCUUCCUCUGGAUUUUUGUCUUCCCUCACACGAACAAGACGUGGAAAUCGGAGAGAAAUUCCCUUCAAACAGAAAAUUAGAAAAUCAUGAAUGGCUAAGAAAAAAGGGUCAAAAGAAAGAAUUGAAGAAUAAUGAGGGAGAAAAUUGCAAAGAGAAACUUGCGCAUGGAUACAACCUUGUCAGAGUCCACAAUGCCGACUCCUGCACGAUGAACUGGGCUAAUAGUCAAGUCUGCAGCUUUAACCUCCCAAACCUGAAAGAGGAUCAUUAGGAAAGGAUAAAUAAGAAGAGAACUCCAGUGGCAUUCAACUUCAACCAUGCAAGUCCCAACUGAAUUUGUUGACUCUAAGAUAUCUUUCAAAAGUCCUUUUAGUUCUUUCCAUGUUAUUUUCAGAAUUCUCUUGUUGCAAAGAGGGAGAGGGUGCAACAAAUACCUUAAAUUCACGACAGGCACAAUACCAAAAAGGGGGGUACGAAAACUCUGCACCACCCUCAAAUACCACCCAUUGAAGGGGAAUGAAUUUUCAACCCAAACAUACAGCAUGAUCUCAAGUGGAAUCAGGCAACAGUAGUAAGAAGAGAGUCAAAAAUGAGAUUUCAGGAAAGAACAUUAUUACCUCAGUUGGCUCAAACCAAACAUCUGGAUUGAUUGUAUCUCCAUACCGAUAAUAUGACUAAAAUUGACAAGAAAAUUUUUAAUUAAAAAGUAGAAUCGUAUGGAAAACCCCAUUAUUCAAAUAUAAUAGGACUUAAAGGGCAGACCUUUGGUUCAGGGAUGACUUUAGAACGGAGACUAGCAGAACGUUCCUCAAGCAUUGCUUCAGAAAACCCAGUUCCUAUGGAUCAUCCAAACUUAAUAUUAGAUAGCUGAAAAUAAAAAAAUAAAAAUAAACAAGCACUGACGGCUUCAAUGGAACAACAAAGUUAAAGCAUUCCUUAUCCUUACCUAUCUUACAAAUACUUUGAAAUUCUUCAUUGUCAUUAUCAUAACAGGCAAGGAGAAAUGCACCAUAGACACCUAGAAAUGUAUACAGGGGGAUUAUGCCAGAAUAACAGACGUUCAUAUAUGCACGAGUCCACAAAAUAUACAUACUUGUACGCCUAUAGCUUUCACAGGAAGAGAGCCAUUUCAUUUUAACUAAUUAAGAGUCAUAUGGAAUUAAUGGGAGUAUAUGCUAAAACUGCUUUCUAAUUAGAGUUAUUAGUACCUGUACGUUUCCCACGGCCAUGGAAGGCAGCAAUCGGUACCAGAUCAAGUGAAUCCCCUAUGCUGCAGUGUACAGGCAUGCAUAGGCAUCCAUAAAGCUCGAUUGUGAUUAUCACACAACAUUUAUACACAGUACAUGAAGUCCAUACCUGUCUAUGUAAUCCUUCUUCAGUUUUAGCCAGUUAUGAGACCUCUUGGAAGGCUCAUAAGUGGCAUCCCGGUUCAGUGUUUUGAUGAUUAAACCCUCACAGCUGCAAACUAAGAUAAUUAAUAGAACUCGAGAAGGAUAAAAUAAACAACAAGAAAACAAGAGAAAACACAAUAACAUAAAGUUAAAGUUACGAAGCAAAUACAAAUGUUCAGUGUGGGAAAUUUGAGAAGUAAAACACUCAAAAAUUACAGCAGGAAUAAUCACCCCUGCACUCAAACAGCAAAUCAAAGUCUCACAGUAUUAAAUAUUUGCCACUGUAACUAUUUCCUUAUAUAGUUUUGUUUUCCUUAACUAUUCCCUAGGCAUUUAACUCCCGUAUUGAAAGUUUUCCUUAUUUAAAAUUCUCACAACAAGAAUCUCCAUUGUAUAUAGCAGUAAACGGUACGGUAAUGACUGCCUGGACCUUUUCAUUUCCUCCACUCAUAUUUCCCAUUUGGCAAUUAAAAACUCCAAUAAGAAAGAGAGCGGUACUGCAUUUUUGUAAUUCAACUGAUCUGAAUUUCUUGACAAUGCACGGUAAUUUUAGCUUGAAAUAAUGUAGCCACUUAUCACUGAUGUUUCAGUUUUUGAGAUCAUGGUCCACUAUACAGCAGAAUGACAUUUACAUAAAGUACUAUACACCUAGUGGACCAGUCGACCAGGAAAAGGGAACACACCUUUGAUCAACCGAUGCAUCAAGGAACUUUUGUAUUUCCUCAAGAUCAUUUGUUAUUAUUGCUGUGGCAAAUUGAAAAUAUCCAGAUUCUUCAAUAAAUGAAUUGUAGAGAAGCUGCAAAGUACAAAACCUGAGAUAUAAAUGAUACAGCCAUUUGCAGAGACCAACACAAAACAUGUUAAAGCAAAAGGAACAUCUCAUAAUCUCAAAGCCGUUUUGUGAUACAACUUAGAUUGCAAUAUUGGAGUUUUAGACAAAGCCGAACCUCUCUACAAGAGAGCAACAUGCAUCCAUUAGUUAAUCAAAUCAUUCAUGUUCCAAAAGUAUUAUUCCAGAAUCCAAACAAAGAUAAUGUUGAACGCUAAAACCAUGUGAGGCUAGAUAAAGUGGUGAAAAUUCCAUAUGACAAGAGAUGGUACUUAAGUCAUCAAAAUCAAUCCUUAAUAUCCUUAGUAAAAAAAAUCAUGAACAAAUAUAAAACACAGCAAAGCUGAAAUGUUGCUAAUCAUCAAUCUAAACCGUGAAACACGCACGCAUGCAUACAAGAAGGAACAAGAGAGAACAUUUGUGACCAUCAAUAGAAGUUGGACAGCAUGCAUGCCUGCACACACGCAAGGAAGGGAAGAAAUCUGAAACUGACAAAAAUAGCAAAAAUUUUACCUCUCGACGAACAUUAAGUUCUCUUUGGAUAAGUGGUUGACCAUCAAGAUAGAGUAAAUCAAAAGCAAAUACACACACUUCAACCUUAAUAUCACUCACAGCCACAUUCUUACGAGCUCGAGUACUCAGAAUCUGUCACAAAGUUCAGAGGUCAGUGUUACACCCUAAUCUAUAGAAGGUAAAGAUUAUAGAAAGAAAAUAAUGUGAUGAGAAGAAGAUAUCUACUAAAAGUAGUUUUAAAAUAGUUCUCCUCGGGAUAAAAUUUUGAGAUGGCUGGUUGUGGUGAAACUUAAAGUGAAAAGAAAACCAAAAUUAAAUAAAAAUAAAAAAAUGGCAAGUUUCCAGAGAAAGAGGAUGAUGAAUGUGUUAGAAGCAUCUAUAUUUUAGUAGCAAAGAAAGUGCUUUCGGACAUUCUUGCACAAUCGUUUCAAUCAUCUCAAGUUCUGGUAGUUUCAUGUGAUCUUAAUCCAAUUUUUAUGGCAUAACAGGCAAUGGCCACAGAGAUAUUCAAAAACCAAAAAUAGAUACUAAAAACGGACCACUCCAUAUUUAAGAUUAGAAAAACAACCAAAGACAAGCAUAUUCCGCCGUACAAGAACAACCCAAUAACAUACUGUACCUGAAAGGGUAGAAUCUUUUGUUUUCCACGAUCAUAAGCAACAAGUUCACAAUCCAAAAUAAAUGAUCUUACAGAUGGUUUCUUUAUCCUGAAAUACGCAGUAAAUUCAAAUUUUAAUGGAAUGCUCUAAUAAAAAAUGAAACGUUUUGCAAAGCAUAAUGAAUGCAGAAAUGGGUGGUUGGAGAUUCAAGAACAAAGUAUUGCGCAACAUAUCUGACUUUCUGUAACUGGUUUCAACCAAAAAACAAAACAAAACAAUGAAGGAUGAAAUCGGAAAACACACCAAAGCGAGCCUUCAAGAGUUUCAUUCAGCAUUUCAAAGAAGAAUAGGAAGCCUAAAACAUAUUAUGUCUAAGUUCUAAACUGGAAUCAGACAUAAAAAGCCAUUUGACUCAUAUAAUUAAAAAUGAACUGAAACUGCCAAGUCAGUCUACCUUGAUACUGUGAGAACAACAUCAGGGAACUUUCCUGUGUUUCGUUCAGCAUUUCGACUAUAUAUCUCAACUGAACCAUCUUCCAUGUAAUGUAUCUGCAUAGUGAAAGAGAAGACAUUCCAUAUGAAUAUGUAAGUAGCAGCAGAAAACCAAAUUUCUCAAGUUGUUCGUUCACUCACCUGGGCACGCUCCCCAUCAUAUUUGUAUUCACAAGUAAAUUCCAAACCCUGGAAUUUAUUUAAGAUCUCAGACACUCCUUUUGUUGGUUUUGCCAGCAUGGGUCCAAUUGGAAUUCCCGGUGUAAAGUUGCAUGUUUUUGAAAGAUUCCACACACCACCACUAAGAAGGGCAGGAACAAGUUUGUCAUAAACUGGAAGUAUAGAAUACACCUGCUUUACAAUCUUAGAAGCCUGAUGCAAACAUAACGUUAGAACCUUCCAAAUGAUAAGAGAAUAUCAUAGAGCACAGAAAAUGGUGCUAUGCAAGUAAAACAGAAGCCAAGCCAAGCUGUGUAGGUGUAGUUGAAAACAUGAUACUUUAAUGAUAAUAGUUUAGAGUCUCAGAAUAAAAAUAAUGAAAUUGUCCAAAAAGAUCGUAGUGAUAAAAUGAAAGGAUUUGUUCCCAUAGACAAGGACUAUGUGAACUCACCUCUUCUAGAGGGGAUUGAAUAUUCGGAGGUGGUGUUGAGUGCUUUUCAGAAUAUACAGCUGCUUGUCCUAAUGCAGCUAAAAGAGUCUGCUCAGCAAGUCCAAUUCGCAAUUUUGUCUGCAUGAUACAUGGCAAAAAUUGGCAAUAGAGAAAAGGAACAAAACAUCACUUUUUAAUGAAAAAAAAAGGCGGCGUUAUUAAUUCUAAGAAAGCUGAGACAUAACCUGCAGCAAUCUAAUCAGAUAUAAAGGUUCACAGUCAGUGGCAGCAACAAGCAGUGACUUGAUAUGAUUCUUUUUCUUCUCCUGACUAUCCUUGCCAGAUUCCUGAGAACAAUUCAAACAGGUUGAAAAGAAAAUCUUUUAGAAAAAAUGACUUUGAGGCCAUAAAUUUACAGCGCACAAAAUGUAUAGUAAUUGAAAUCAUUUUGCAAUGCGAUAAUAUUACAAAACAACAAGAUUGAGAUAAUAUUAGAAAAAAAUGCUUAGUUUUUUAACGUAGGAAAAAGCUGAAUUUACUAGAUGGUAACUCCACACCAUAUAGUAAUAGUUCGCAGUCAAACUUUUUUCAAUUUUAUAGAAACAACUGCUUUCAUUGACAAACAAUGAAAGAAUACAAGGACGUCAAAAAAGACAAGCCCCAAAAGGGAUCUCCACUAAAUAAAGGAUUUCCAACGAGGUCAAACUAACCACAACCUAGUUUACUGGUUAUACAAUAAGCAAUUCAAAUCACAAGCCUAACACACCUUAGCAAUCAGUCGAAAUGUGUCAAAUACUUUGGUAACAGUUAAAGCAUCGGGCUUUCGCAUCAUAGAUUGAGAUGAACGGCUAGCUUUAGCAACAAGACCCAAAUCUCCCAAUUCCUGUCAAACAACUGACACAUUAAAAUAUAAAAUGUUUGUCGUUCAAAUAGCACACAACUACAAACUUCUAAUACACUGGGAAACAAUGAAUUGUCUCAUUCUUGAGACCCUUUGAAAACAUUUUAAUUCUGAUCAAAGAAAAGAGAAAAUAAAGAUAGAGACUUUAUCAUCCAUUCUUUUUCAAUUACAAACUCUGCAAAGCACGUUACGAUGAAAAUAAAUCCAAUAAUAUGAAUACGUAAUAAAUUUGGAGGACGAAACUCAAAAGCCCCCUUACCUUGUACUGCUUUUUGACCUGUGCCUCUGUCCUCCCAAAUGCCUCAGAAAGAGCUUUGAUAAUAGAAGCAUCCCCAAUCCCCAACUCAAGCCCUUCAUGAGCUGGAGCAAUCUUAUUCGCCAAAAGAUAAACAGUGGCUACCAAGUCGUCGGGUGUAGUAUCCAUGACGGUCCUCAGCAUGUUGCAGACUAUAUCAGUGAUAGUAAUCCUACUGGACUCCUCCGAAAUCAUAUCGAACCCCAAACACAGAAACAAAAAGGGAACACGUUCACCCUCUUUCCAACAUGCGACAUUCUUCGAGUUGAAAUCCUUAGCCUUCUUUUUCAACUCUGCAGUAGAGCUCUUCAAUUUCGCUGUUCUUUCUUGAACACUAGACGCACAAGUCUUGUUCCCAAAUGGCCCAAUCUUGGCUCCAACACCGCCAUCAUUAUCCUGACGCAAUUUGGUUUCUCCCAAAUCGACACCAUCCAAAUGAGUACCUCCAUGAUCGUCCAAAUUUGAAACUGAACUGCCGCACUGCGAUUCAACAGGCGGCGUUGACUCAAGAGCAAGGAAAGAGCUAGGUUUCAGAGGAGAAUCUAAAGAAUCAAGGGCUUUACGCUUCUUGGGAGAAGAAUUAGCAGGCUUCUUCUUGGCAGCGGCACGAGCACCAGACAUGAGAGCAUCGAAGGCGGAAGGACGAGAAGACAUUGGUGAAACAAAAUUAUGAGAUAUGGGUUUGAAAGAGAAGGAAGAAUUGUUGGAGAAAAUGAGUUUCUUGAAUUGGGGAUGAGGCAAUGUGAUGGGACGUAGAUAGAAACAUGAACGCAGAGAAAGCAUCAAAUUGCAGGUAUCGAAAAGUAGAAGAAAGGUUUCAACAAAGAGGAGAGCAAAGCAAUAGCGGAAGAAAUGAAAGAACUGAGAAAUGGCGGGAAGGGUUUUGGGUUUUGGGUUUUCAUUCGCGUUUUUGUUUCUUCAGUUGAACGGUGUCGGAAUCGAAUCGAUGCUUGCUUAUUCCGAUACUGCCAGAGUGCAGAUGAUGGGCCGUAAAUGGGCCUGCCUUUUAUACGAGCUCUUCUUCUCCCAGAAUUUGGGCUCAAAUUAGUUUAGGGUCCACUAAAUAAUUUAGAGCAAUAAUUUGGAAGAGAAGCGAACGGAGAUUCCUUACCGACGACGAUGGAUGGUGGAGGAGGGAGCAACGGCGCCCGAGGAAAGGGUGGCGGCCAUGGACGACGGAAGGAGGGGUUGUUUGCAGUUUGCACGGCCAGAAAACUGAAGUAAUAGUCAAAGCCAAGUUUUUCCUCUUUCUCCUCUUCAAAUUCCAAAUAUUUUUAAUCUUCUCAAACCUUUUAUCAAAAAAUUAUAUUCUUCAAAUUAAUUAAAUUUUGAUUGCAACCCUUCCAACUAAAAUAAUAAAAUACAACAAUCAAUUAUCUCAGCAAUUUCAAUUAACCCCACUUAACUUCAAUUUAUUCAAAUUGGAAUUUAAUUUUCGUUUCUAAAUAUUUUGUCACAAAAGCUCAAAUAAUUGAGUUGUGAAGAAAAUCGAUGCAGCAAAGCAGAGAUUUUCGGGUGUGAGUGUGACUUACUUUCCACUGAAUGUAAUCUUCCUCUUAUUUGUAUAUCUAACCUUUUUAUUUAUUGGGUCGACUUUGACAUGGAUUAAGGUCGAGCCUCGUAGCCAACUCUCACCUUCUAGUAUUGUUUUACUUUAAGCUUUAUUGUGUCACUCAUUGUUUCAUUGUCACUACAUCUCAAAGUGGUAUGUAAAACAUGAGAACAUAAAAAGAAAAGAAUGUGUGGUAAGUAUAUCUCAUGUUAAUUUAACGUUAUUGAUCAAACAUAUCUUAAAAUUAAUAUAUACAAGUAAAUGCAACCCAACAUGAAUUUAAACAGUUAAUUAAAAUUAUGCCUUGACAGAAUGAUAAAAGAAAGCUAUUAUUUUAAGAAGAAAAAAAACAAGAUCACACACACCUAUACACACAUAACAAAUAUUUUUCAUCAUCAAUGCCAAGGACAUAAUCAUGAAGAAGGCAAGAGCACGUACUUAUUCGACCAAAUAUUGACUCCACUUUAACAAAGCUAGCAAAAUAUGGCAUCGCAAGUGAACACUAAGCAUGCAUGUAUGCAUGAUGGGUAGUUCUAAAAUCAAAAUAUUGUAAUUAUAACUAAAAUCUAAAGUUUAGUGAGUGCUUUGCUUUUGCCCCAAGUUGUAAAAGAAAAAAUAUGAAACAAUUACAGCAAAAAAGCUCAUUCACCAAUAAAUUAAAAAGGUAUCUUGUUAUUAUUUUCUCAAUUGCUUAUCCAUAUAUUAAUUAUCAACUCAAUCUUACAUGUUAAACAGGCUUAUGAGAAUUUUAUAUAUUUAACAAAAAAAAAAAAAAAACCACAUAUAUACACUUUUUAGGGUUUAGGGUCUUUACAAUCUCUUGAUAAAAAAUACACCAAUAUUUAAAGAAACAGAACCAAAUAAAAAGUAAACUCUCCAAGCUGUCAAACGAAUAAUUAGAAUUUAGAAUGUACUAAAAAACAAUAUCUAAAACAAAUAAUUGUAAUAUUUAUAUAUAUAUAUAUAUAAAACAAAGAGUAAAAUGAUUAGCUACGAGUUGCCCCAACUGUGGGGUGCAAAAGAAAAACAAGGAAUAAGAAUAUAACAUAUGUAUGUAUUUUAAAGUACUUUUUAAAUAACUUUGUUGUUGUCUUUCCAAUAACAAAUGAUUUUGUUUUAAAGAAAUCAAAUAAAAUGUUACUAUUUGAACUAGUUUGCUAAUCUAUAGAUUAAUUAGUUCUCACGUAUGUAUGUAUCUCUCUAUAUACAUAUUAAAGGACGUUUCAAUAAAAAUCUCUUUAAUCAAAGCCUCAAAGAGUCUAACUUUUAAAAUAAUUUAUCAUAGUUAUGACUUUAGAAAAACCGAGUUCAGUUAUAAAAUAGAUAAACUAAUUCUAUUGUUUAAUAAUAUAAAAAUACUAAAUUAUUAUUAUUCCAAUAAAUAAUAAUAAUAAAAAGAGUAGAUUAUCAUUUUAAUUGUUUAUAUAUAUACACAUAAUUUAUAAUUCACUAUAAUACAAUUACAUUAAAAUAUAUAUAGUUUUAACUUUUUUUAUUGUUAUUAUCAUUCUUUGUUUUUAAAUAAUCGUUAUAAAAAUUUGACCCAAUCAAAAUAUGAAAUAAAUGUAAAAAAUGAAUUACCGAAAUGAUAAAUUGGUAAGUAAAAAUAAUAUUAUUUAGAUUGCAAAAACAAGAGGAAUAUUUGUGUAAGAGCAUAAAGCUACAGAAUCAAAGCUUUAAUUGGUUGUUAGUUAAAGAUUGUCCGUUAUCUAGAGAGCAUAUAUGGACCGCGACCAUGUUUAUGUAGCCCUUCAACAACCCUAUUAUUUAUGGGUUUUUACCCUAAAACACCAACUUAUGUUUUCUAUACGCCCCUGACUUUGCUUACUUUGGCACUUUCCCACCAUUAAUCACUACUGACCAUAAUGCUUCUAUUUAGUUUGUUUUACAAAUGCUUCCAUCCGUAUGUAAUUGUUAUUUUUCUAACCGGCUUUUAAGUAGUGAUAAGGAACGAGCUGAUAAAUAUUGCAUCAAAUAUUAAAAAUUUGUCAAAAUGAACGUAACUUAAUUGUAUUAUCAAUUUUGAAGUUAAAAUUUAGAUUUUCCUUUUCUUUCUAAUGGUUAAAAAAUGUUUAAUAAUUUACGAGUGUGAAUCGAGUAUAUUCUAUAGGGUAAUUAUGAAAAAUGAUUGUUACAGUGGAAAAUAAACAACCCUUCAUGAAUAUUUGCCUCACCUUAUUAAAUUAUAUUUAUUUUUCAACAAUAGAGGAAUAUUUAACGAGGGUGAUUAGAUUAAUCAUUCUUUUGAAUGUUAAUCAAUGAUAAAUUCUUUUGAAUGUUAAUCAAUGAUAAGGGAUAGUUACUACCUACUAAUCAAUGAUAGUGCUAAUAAAAAAAAUUAAUUUUAAAAUUCAAUUUUAAGGGAUAAGUACCCCUAAUCUUUUUUUUAAUUUACAAUUUAUUAAUUUAAAAUAAUAAUUGUCGAACUCAAUUGCUCAUCUAAUCAAAACGUGUCAUGUGAUGCAUAUGGUGUAACUCAAUUUUAUUACAAUAGAUCAGAUCAAUUCUAAGUAGUAAAUCUAUUUAAAAAUAUAUUAAAUUAUGUCCGAACCUAAAAGUUUGGAUUCAAAUCAAUUGAAAUGUCGCUUUCUUUUGAUCCUUUCGAAUAUAUAACCAUAUAAAUUAAAAUUCAUAUAAUUUUAUAAAGUGGUUUUUUCAAGAAAUUGAAUAUGGAUUGUUGAUAAGAAAACUCAUUCAAAAUUCAAAGUGAAGUAUUGUCGUUUGUGUAUUACUGUGAAACGAUUAUUAUACAAGAUCUUCAAUUUCUUUUAUGAACUAUUAAUAUUUGAUAAAAAAAUAUUUAGUUAAGGAAUUAUAUUAUGAUUUGAAUAUAUUAUAUAUUGUCAUUUACCAGACACACCUUAUAUUCCUUUAUUUGAAAUUCAAUUUCAAAAUUUGAUUUGUAUUUAUGUGAUUGAUUAAGUAACUAAAUAAGAAAUUGGAAAUCGAAUCUUCGUAAAUUGCAAUCUAAUUGAAAAAUAACCGAUGCAAUAUUUAUGGUUUCGAUGGUUCAUAGGCCACCAACAUUUACAAGAAAAAAUAUAUGAAAUACUAAAUAAAGUUGGAUCAAAUAGAAAGUUUAAAGAACUUAACUUUAGAGGUUUGAUUCAAUUAGUAAACAAAAAGCGUUUCAGGAAAUGGCUAGCUAGAAAAUUGAAUAGAAGCAGGAAAGUACGCAACAAACACUGAAAAUUCAAAGAGAGGAAAAUGGGAUGACCCACGAUUUUGAGCGUAUUUAAUGAGGCUAAUCUACGAGAAGGUUGGUUCCUUGGAGGAAAGGGAGCAACCAAAUUCAAGGCGAUCGUGCCUCCUGCCGUAUCCACCAUGUUGUUCAUUGCCCUGCCUCUUUCCUGACAAUUAUUCCAUUAUGUCCACCAAUUGUGUUGGGAAAGCUUUGUUAACACAAUUAUUCAGUGACUCGACUUGGGCCGCCGCUGCUCCAUCUGGGUUUGUUGCUCUGCUUCCCUUUUUUUUUAUUUUCGGGCAAAAGUGAUGCUCUCAACGUGUUUGUAAAAAGUCCUCUUCAUAUUUCACAAUGUUUUUUUUUUAAAAUGAUUUUCGAGCAAAAUGGAUGCUGUCUACUUUUUGAAUCAUUUGAUUUGGCAUUGCAAGUUUUUCAGAUUCAAGUGUUUUGGGGUCUUUUACCUGUAUUUUGUUGGUUUCAUAGAAUCCAUCCAAAGUACAUCCAUACCCAUAUGAUUAUUUUUUUAAAGCAUUCCAUAAAAAACUCAUCAUUUUCUUUCGGGAUCCAAAGGUAGAAACAAAACAAGUAUAAUUUAAAAGUGUACUUAGCGCAACGGAGUUGAAUUUUAACACUCUCAACAGUCAACUACUCCUGUAAUAGUUUUGACGGUGGUGGAGUGAAGUAGACUGGUUGUUUCAAGUUUAAAUUUUUACCGACAGUACAGUAGGCGUCAAGGAGAAGUCCAAAGCUACUGGACAUUUGUACAGAAAAAAUAAUAGAUUUUUGUAUAUACAUAUAUUUUCCCAAGGCGGUUGAGAUUUAAGAAGAGACAACUAGGCAAGGUAAGCUAGCUACCUAAUGGCGUUCCACAGAAUCAGCCAAAAAAGAGAAAGGGAACGUAAAAGAAGAAGCAAAAAGGUAAGACCCCAGAAAAUGAGGUGAGGGGUAAGAUCUUCUGGUUUCGUUUCCGUCGCGUCCCUCUCAGUCCCAUGUCACCACGUCUUUCUCUAUCUGUAAAGUCGACGUCUUAUAUGAUCCCAAUUUUCUAAGCUGUCUCUGUACCAUUGAGCAAUAAACGCGGGCGAGCUUUCCUUCUUCUUCCUCCUAUUCUCAGUCAAUUUUACGCUCUACUUGUUCUCUUGGCAUCAAAGAUUCUUUUUUAUUUCCCUUUAUGAUUGGCCUCUUUUCACUUUGGCUGCAUCUUACUUGGAGUUUGCUCUUUCCUCCGUUCUUAGAUCUGGCAAUGACAUUUUUCAAUUUGUUCUGCCAUUUGUAUUCUUAAAGCCCUCUUCUUCACGCAUCCGAGGCUGACUGAUCACGACUUGUUUCAUACAGGGUUUCUGUGAUACUGUUCCAAAGGAAGCUAAAAUCUUCAAAUCUGCUAGAUUGGUAGCCGCUUUGACGAGGGAUUGAUGAAUAUUGAGGUGCCAUGGAGAUGAGAAUGAAGAAGUACAACCAACUCAGUCCUGAGAGGGCUAAGGUGUGGACUGAGAAAUCGCCCAAAUAUCAACAGGUUCGGAAGGUGCCUGUAAUUUACUAUCUAUGCAGAAAUAGGCAGCUGGAGCAUCCUCAUUUCAUGGAAGUUCCACUCUCAUCCUCUGAGGGACUGUACUUGAGAGGUAUUGCCAAAUCGAAAUGUAUAAGAAUAUGUUAUGCCCCUCCUCUCCCAAUGGAUUUAUAUGCUUUAAAGUAGUUUUUGCCCAGAUGUGAUUAACAGGCUUAACGUUCUCAGAGGAAGAGGCAUGGCUACCUUAUACUCUUGGUCUUGUAAGAGGUAAAUUAUUUAUGAUCUUAACGUUUGCUUUAGAUUCUCUUUGGAGGAUGAUAAAUGUUGGAGAGAAAUAAUCUGAAAACUCAGAUGCUUCAGUUUCUGAAAUAUUGAAAUGUAGCAGCAUUCUUAUAGUGCAAUGUGUUGGGCCUAAUUGUGCAGAAGCUACAAGAAUGGAUUUGUUUGGCAUGAUCUCUGUGAAGAUGACCUAAUUCUUCCGGCUCACGGAAAUGAGUACGUUCUCAAAGGCUCCGAGCUGUUUGAAGAGUCCACUACUAGUAAAGGUUAGUAAAAAAAUUUAAGGUAAAAGGUUUUGAAGACAUACAUAAUCGGGGGUUUAAAUUCACAUCUGACAUAACUUGAGAAACUAAACCGGGAAAGAAACUCACGGAUGGUUAUUUGGUUCUAUUUCUCGUGGUAAAAAAGUAUUGAAAGUUAGAUAUGAUCUCGCAGACCAUUUCAGCUCCAUUGGCAAUGUGAAUAUUCAGCCACUGAAGCAAUUACCUGAUCCAGCAUCUUCCCAGAGUCAGGACGAUUCAUCAUCAUCUUCAAGCAUGACCGGAAAAGAAAUGAAAAAUUCUCAAGAAGAUGACCUCUCGUUGUCUGUUCUUCGACCUGGUUCAUCAAGCAUGUCUCCGGAUUCUGGAGGUGGAAAAAGUUCAUGGGGUGGUUGUCUUAGCUUGACAGAAUACAAGGUGUACAAGACUGAUGGCUUGUCUGAUGCAUCGACUCAGACUGAGGAAAAUAUUAGCAGACCAAAAACACGAGAAACGUGUACAAGGGGAGUUUCAACGGAUGAUGGUUCCCUAGAACCAGAUUGUAACCAGACUCUUAACAAUGCGGCUUCAAAUCAUAAGAAAAACUACGAUGCUCCUCAGGAUUCAGUUUCUCCACCCACAUUGUCCUCUAGUGCUUCCUCCUCAGGUGGGAAGACUGAAACGUUAGAGUCUCUUAUCAGAGCUGAUGCCAGUAAAAUCAACAGUUUUAGGAUUCUUGAAGAAGAAGAAAUUCGGAUGCCAGCCAAUGCAAGACUCAAGGCUACAAAUGUGUUAAUGCAACUUAUAUCGUGUGGAUCAAUAUCGGUCAAGGAUCAUAGUUUUGGACUCAUUCCAUCGUACAAGCCAAGGUUUUCUCACACCAAAUUUCCCUCUCCAUUAUUCUCUACUACAGUGAUGUUGGGAGAACUCAACUGCUUGUCUGAGAAUCCUAGGAUGAUGGGCUUGAGGUUGGAAGACAAGGAAUAUUUCAGUGGUAGCUUGAUUGAGACUAAAAUGCUGCAAGCGGAUGGGCUGACAACUCUAAAACGAUCAUCUUCAUACAAUGCUGACAGGUUCUUUUAUGUCCAUAUAUUUUACUAAUGUUAAAUGUUCUAAUAUCCAUAAAUUUGAAGCAAUUUAUUACUUUUAUUUGUCUUCAAUUCUCCUCAAAUACUUUUGCUUUUCAUGGCUUAUGUGAUGACAAUGGUCAAGCUUGCUCAAUUAAGACAGUGACAUAAUUGGAGAAAAAGAACUGUUACCGUGAUUUUAGUGGACAGCGGACGUAAUUGUUCAGUGUAACAUGCUGAAGAUUAGUUGUUUUGAUUGAUGGAACCCUUGAUCCAUGCCUGCGCUAUUUUCUGUCAGCUUAUUUUCUUUGUCCAGUUGAAUAGGAUGUUAAAAAAGUACAAAAUUCGUAUGCUACAAUUUUGUGCUGUAUAAAGCUUAAAGUUUGAAGAGAGAUUAUGCAGACUUAGCUAGCCAAGACUGGUGAACCAGCAUUUCUGUCAUGUUCUUUUACAUUUUGAAGUAGUGCAUAAUAGUGCUUAUAGGAGAAAAAUUCUCGUGUCUUCUUACUGUUACUUUUUUACCUUGUUUCUCAUGUUAAUGUUAGUAGAUCCUUUGAAGCUUCAUCUCUGUUUAAUGAUUAAGAUCUCACUGUUAUGGCUGCUUUCACCUGCUUCUCUGCUUCUCUUCUCCCCAUAAAAUGAAGAUUUUGGGACUAAUCUAAUUGGCUUUAGUUGAUCAGAGGACGAAUGUGAAAAUUACAUGGAUGUCAAGAACUCACCAUCAUAGCUUGCCACAAUAGAAUAUGGACCUUUCGUAUCUUUCAAAUACACGUUUGUACUUCAUGUUUUGUGUGUAUAUGUAUGCCAGCAGCUAGAUUUGGUUGCCAUCAUUAUAUUUUAUUUAUAUCGGUGUCUACUUAUUUUGUCUUGUACAAUACACAUUAAAAGUUAGUUUAUGGGAUAUGCGUGGUUAUUUCUUCAUAAUACUUGCAGUCCCAGUUAGUUUAUGACUUACAGUAAGCUAAUACUACAGGACAUUUAAGCAAUUGAAUUCAACUGAAGACAAGGAUCAGUCAACCUCUAGUCGCUCCAAGUGCAUUCCUCGGGCCAUUAAAGCUUCUCUAAGCAAGCAGACACGCAACGAGCCAAUGAAGUCUCCUUCUUCUGAGAGACCAAGAACUUCUUCUGAUGGUGUAACCUCUCAAAACGUAAGCCCUACGACCUCCAAUGAUAGCAGCAAAAGGAUUACAGAGCCUUUCUCCGGAAGGAAACAGUCUAAGAAGCUAGAUUCCUUUCGAGAAGAGGAAGAGGAUGUGAUCAAGAUCGAAGAAAGUUGAGUGCAGAUUCACAAUUUUCUUGAUAGAUUCUGAAGGUGGCGCUAUUUAGCCACCGCUUUGGUGAAAUCUUUGUUGACAUUUAGUUCAAUUCUUUUUUCACAGGCUUGCUUCAGGAGCUCGGGUUAUAAUCUGGUCGAAAUCAACUUGCAAUAGCAAGGAUGUUGGCAAUACUUAGAGCAUGUUAGGAACAACCAAUGGAUGCCUCAUCUUUCAGCCAAGUUGAAGUAGCUCGUUCCCUCCAAGAUCUUACUUUUGAUCAGAUCUACAUCGAAAUUCAAUUGAUGUUGAUAAUUUGUUGGUGGGGCCUUGGUGAUUCUGUUUAUCUCUCGAGUGUAAAAAGGGUGAAAACCAACAGUCUUCAGCUAGAAGAGGGGCGCGCAGUUUGGCCUUGGACCAGGUCAGAGAUCUUUUGAGUUGGUUGGCUUUUGCUUGUCAGGUCAGCUAAAUAUUAAAUGAUAAAAUUGUAACUUUGCUUUAAACUACAGUUACCAUCACUUCUUUUGAUGAUCUCUUUAGCUUUAGAAUAGUUUCUGCAGGCAAAAUCUGUAACAAAAAAAAGCUAGGGAAGAGUGUCACCCCUUUUAAUAUAUUAUUUAUAAUUAUUUACUUCUUUCUCUGGAAGCCUUAAAACAAGUCAACUUAAUUCAGUAAAAAUGCCUGGAAAUGGUUUGAAGGAAAUGAGUUGCGAAUCCUUUAAAAAACAUGGGUUUGCUCUCUUCAAAGCAAGAAGAGACAUGAGUCUCCUCAAAAGCCUCAUUUGGAUUAUUUUAAGAGAUACCCUUUUAAAUGUUUUAUCUAGAAUGGAGAAAUCUGUUCCUUCCUGGAACAAAAGAAACUUGGCUUCACGUGUGAGAAGCCUUGGAAACCGUGAGGGUUUUAGGUCUAAAUUUAAGCCCGAGUAGAUUUUUCAGCUCUGCCUCUGCUUUGUGUGUCUGUUUGUGUGAAUCAUGAAAGCUUUUAUCUUCUGAAUUGAGUAGUGAUAGUUGUAAUAGGCAUUCUGUCCUUUACUGUAUUUAAGGCUAAAGUAUAAAGGUAAAAAGAUGCAUUAUUUGAACAGAGAUUUAAAUACAGAAUACAUAGGGCUCAUACAAAGUGUAAAAGACUGGCAUGUCAGAAUAAUGGAAACUGCGUAGACGGUAGAACCUUUUUUAGCUAACACUAUAUUGUCGUACUGCACUCAAAAAACCUUUUGAAUGUUAAAAUUUCAAAUCUUAUGUGUUGUAAUUUGAGUUGAUUUUCAGCUUCACUCUUCCUGUUAUUAUUAUUUAUUUUGCUUCUCUUCUCUGUCGUUGCAUUUCUUUCUUGACAAUAAUGAAAGUAAGAGAGAGAGAAGAAAAAAGUUUGAAAGAGUGAAAUUAUUAUUAUUAUUUUGUAGGGUCGAUAGACAUAAUAAAUGUUUCACGGUACCAAUUAUAGUUAUCACUUUAUUGUAAUGAAUGGAAGGAAAAUACUUAACUUGCCACUUGCAACCCAUUACACCUAUCUACCUCAUUACAACAUUAUUAUGUAUUAAAAGAAGGCAGAGUAUUGGAUAGGUUUAGGUUAAGUGAGUUUUCAUCUCUUCAUGUACAUCUCGUCUUUUUCCUGCUCUCUAAUUUUUGAAGGGAUAAAACACCAUGAAGAUAAUGAUGAUGUUGAUUUUGUUUUUUUUUUUCUUUUUUGGGAAAAGAAAGAAAGAAAAAUAGGAAUAAUGUUGUUAGCAAUUGGAGGCAACUCCCUACUUCAAUGGACAAAUAGCAAAAGCCACCUAAAAUUGUUACACUUAUACUCACAAACAUUCUACGGUAACACUUGACUUGGGUUCUUAAACUUCUAAGAGUACUAAAGUUGGAUCUCCAAACUUAUAAUAAUUGUAAAAAUUUAACCUACAAAUAAUAAAAAUUGAAUACUCAAUUUAUAUAAUAAAUACAAUUUAUACAAUUAUGUAAAUUUGGACCUAAGUUUAAUUUUAGAAUUUGAAUGAGUUUGAAAGCUCAACUUUUAAUUUUAGAAUUUGAAUGAGUUUGAAAGCUCAAUUUUUAAUUUUAAAAGUGAAAGGAUUUAAUUGCAAAUAUCAUCGUACUUGCGGUUAAAAAAAGGAAAACAAUGUGUACAUAUAGGAUUUAGGGUAUUCAUAAUAACUAUUUCUAAAUGUACAUAUAUUGUUUAGGUGAAAUCAAGAGGAGUAACAAUGGUUUAUUUCAAUAGUGAAUAAAGUUCAGGUGAAAUCAAGAGGAGUAACGAUGGUUUGUUUCAAUAAUGAAUAAAUUACACUAAUAUGUAUGUUGAUGCUAACAUUGUAUUUAGCCCUUAAUUAUGCUGAUUAGCCAAGGCUAGGGAGAUUCAAAAAAUGGUGCGGCUUUUAUAGUCUAUUAACACAACCACGUUGUGUGUGUGCCUCUAUGGACCUCUUAACACAAAUUUAUUAGACCUAUCAUGACACAACAUUUACGUCUUUUUCGUUAGGUCAUUGUGCAUACAUCAUAAAAAUGUUUCUCAAGAAGAGUGGUAAGAAAAUGUGGUUUACAACAUAAAAGUAAUUUGUAAAUAUAAUAAAAUUUGGGGUAUGCUCUCAUGAUCUUGUGAUAGAUCAUAUUGUUAUUGAGUGGUUAAUAAGAGUUUGUUAGUUAUAAGGCGUUUGAGGGACAAGUUUUGUUAUUUACAAUUCUUUAAAAUUGUUGAUACACAAUUAGGGGUAUUUGAAACAAGGAUUAUUCAAGAUUAUAAUAACCAUCUUUUGUUACGGUAAAUACUGUUUUGUACUUUCCAAUUAACUACCAUCAACAUUAUUUCAAAUUAAACUCUCAAUUUGCUGUAAUAUUUAUUAUUUGUUACCGUUUUUACUAUUUUACGUUCAUCAUUUUAUAAUGUUUAUCAUUGUCUUUUCAAACUAAAAUAGUUUAUACUUGGAACACACUAUUAUAACCUAAACUAAAACAAUUUACAAUUCAAACACAAAUUAUUAUAACUAAGAUAUAACAAUUGAAAGACUAUAAUAGUUAACUUUUAGCUUCAAACUAUUGACUCGAAAAGUGUUUAUGUAUCUAUUGUAAUUGGGUAGAUAUAUAGAGUGAGAGAGAGACAUGAGUGUUGGUUGAACAGUUAGAUGGCGCUUUCAAAGAAAAAAUAAUAAGGAAUAACAUUGUCCCUAUGAAUUUAAUAUCUACCCAAUCAACAAUCAUAGAACAUCACAAAUUUGUGCAACCACAUGCUACUGACGUCUUUCUUAUCCACUCCAAGCCCAUUUUGGUUGUAUAAAAAGUGUUUUUAUUUUUUUUUUAAUUAUAAAACCAAACAUUAAAUAAUUAAACGAUAAACUUUAUUUUAAACAAUAAUAUGCCCAAGUAAUUUAAUUUUAAGAUAAAUACUAAUUUGAAAUACAAUAAAUAAAUUUGUUUGGAAAGUUUAAGAUAAAUAUGCUAAUAGAUUAUAAUAAGUUUUUGAAAAAAAAAAAAAACAAAAAAUCAUAGAAGAACUAAAUUUAAGAUUUGUUGAAAGCAUAACAGUCAUGGGAAGAAGUAAAGAGAAUGCUAAAAUUAAAACAAAAUUUUAAAAUAUAAGGACCGAUAUGAUAUAUUAACCUAAUUUUAUUCAUAAUAAAAUCUUUCUCAAACCUUCCUUGUUUAAUUAGUCCCACAAUAUGUGUUUCACUUAUAUUCUCUUAUUGAAUGUGAGACAUAUCCACAUUAUAUCUUUUGAUAAUUUGGCCUAAAAUGCUAGAAAAACAUAAAAGGAAUAAAAACACAAAAGCCAAAUGGAGCCUUAAACCAUAUAAGUCCAACAAAAUUUCUAUAUACACACAUGGCAGGUGGAAUGAUGUAGAACCAUAUGACCAAAACCUAUCAGGUGCAGUAGUCUUACUAUGGUUAACUCUCCUAUUAUAACCAUUAGGUUUUUAGAGCUCAUUUUUAUUGAAGCAAUGCAUCUAAUAGUUAUGGGAAGGGAAACCACAUCAUGGCGAGUGAGACCAAGAAUUUCUUGGUAGAACUCAACAACAUAACUGUACAAUCUAUAGGAGAACAGAUCCUAUUCAAGUAAAGGUCUGAUCGAGAAUUUCUUCUUUGGAUCUUCUUUUGGUAGAAAAGUCUAGCUCACUAUCUCAGGAACCGUUGUGGAUGAGCAAGAAGCAGUAGGUCUUCUUCCUAUUGUUUGUUUGGUGUUGUAGGAGUUGCAAUCCAAGCAUUUAUGAGCAACCACAUGGAAUUGAACUUCACCUUCUGCGCCACAGUCAUUACAUAGAAUCCAUACCUGCUUGUAUUUAUGCAGAGUAAUUAAUGUCAUGACCAAGAUUUAUAAUUCCCUCUCUCCAUUUACCUACAGAUUCACCAGUUAAAUUUUCUUAAUACUUCAUGAGAUUUUCUUUAUAGCAUUUUGACCUCUAAUCUUCAUUUUUGAAUUUCAUUUCAAUCAGAAUCAGUAUGCUUUUAUCUUUUGUUUUCAGAUUUAAGCAAUAGCAUGGAAGAGAAAUUGAUUUUAUUCUUUAAAUCUCUUAAGAACAAGUAGAAAGUUGAAAGCAUUGUUGAAAGGGUGUUACCUUCUUGUUUUUAUAUAUAUCAGGCAUCAGGGUUGAAGCAAUCUACAUUUAUAGUUUAAUAAAAGAAAUCAAGAUAUUGAUGAAUGAUUUAGUAGUUCAUAUUAUGCUGUGAGGAAAUUAAGAAAAUAAGUAUAUAAUAUGACUUACCACUUUAUCAAGCUUUUCCCACAACCUAGACAUGUCACAGAUUGACUUUGAGCAGACAGGGCAAGAGUACCUGUGAAAAUAAAACACAUUGUAACCACUAUUAUAAAUCAUCUUCUACAUACACAAUCAUAGACAAAGAUAUUAAUACUUCUUGACCUUGCGCCUGGAUCAUUUCAAACGAGAUUGAGGGAGACGACUCAUAAAAGUUCAAUAAUGGUUUCAUUUUCAACUGAUUUUGGAGGGUCGUAUGCAAAUUUAUGUGGAACUGCAUCGUAAUAUAUCCUAAGGUUAUAAGCAUUUUAAAUGUGAUGUACUUACUGGAAAUGUGAUUCCAUCUCCUUUGCACAUUCCAAAUGUAUGGUAUGGCCACAAGGUAAGACACUGAUGUCUUUUGUUGUGUCAAAUAGAAACUGCAUUGAAGAAUUUAGACAUUUUAAAUCAAGUAAUGUUCGACCUAUAGGCAUUAACAAAAGAUAAUUAUGCAUCGACUUUCCUUACCUCAAAGCAUACAGGGCAGCUAUGGUGCAUUGCUCGCUCGAUGCAACGAUGACCAUCUUUCAUUAAUUUUGAAUAGCAACAUCCUGCGACAAACAUUGCAAGAAGGUAGAUGUUACUUUUUACCUUCUUAUAACUAUUUUAUUCUUUUAGCUGUUCAGUUUUUGAGUUUGAGUUUGAGUUUUGUCCCUCACUCACCACAUGUCUUACAGUGGAAGAAAUUUUCCUUUCCUCCAGUCCUACAAAAUAGAAUAAAGAUAACAUACUGAAUAAGCAUAACCAUUAUCAUAUUUUAAGAAGAUUUUUUUUGAAUUUAAGCUCAUUUCACAGAGUUUGAAGAACUCAUACCUACAGAUUCCACAUUCAUCACAAUGAUAUUGAUUUUUUGAAACCUGAAAAGGGAACAAACUGAAGCAAUUAGAAAGCAAACGUAGCCUCAAGGUGACUAGGAGAAUGUUUCUCAGCGAGUCAAAGUUUCAGCAGAAACAUGAAAUACCAGCCGAUGAUUAAAGGCUUUUAAGAAUGGUUGUUUAACUGUUUAAAAACAUGUUCUGCAUAAACAUUGAUUUUAAGCACUUAGAGAGGCAUUCCUAAUAUGUCCUAACUCACGUCAUCAUCGAAGAAUUUGCAUAUGCUGCAGAAGUACUUCCCAAAACAGACUCCACAGUUCGAGCAGUACUGCUGAACCUGCUUGAAAUAAAAAGGAACUCAACAAGUUAAUCACAAUUAUACCCAUUUAAAGUUGUCUCUUAGCUUGUUUCAAUUACAAUGUCAUUCUCAAGGAACUCACAUCUUGUUCUGUAUCACAUAAGGAACAAAUAACCUGCAAGGUGCAAUAAAAGGCAACAUACAAUCAGUUACAAGAAGAGAGAAAAUUCAACAGUUUCUUCAAGUAGUCCAGUCUAGCUUAAAGAACAUUAGGACAAUAAUGCCAAUCCCUUGUACUCUAAAAUGAUACGAUAUUGCCCACUUUGGACCGGUGUUAAAAUGGACUACUUUUCAAGUUUGUACAAAAGGCACCAAGACUCAUAAAGGCAUGCAUUAUGCACAGCUGAUGAAACUUAAGUGGCGCUUUUCUUUUUUUUUUUGAAAAGCAACAGGUUUGCUUCAGAAUUAAGUUAUGGUUCUAUGGAAAUACCAUCUUUGUAAGAAAUGUUCAAGCUUUUCUAAAAGUUCAAUAAUGCCAAAACCACCACCCACCAGAAAUAAAGUCGCUUUUUCAAAUUUCCCCAAGUCAGAUUGAUUAAAGAUUUACAAUGCCGUUUAGUGCAGAUCGAAUCAUUGAACAUAGAAAUCAAAUCAAGAACAGACCUGGUGGAAAGAAAAUUAAAGUUCCCAUUUCAUAACCUUUUGGUUUUGAAAAUUAAGUUUAAAAACAUUGACAAUUUCUACUUAUAUGGAGUUCUCAUAAAAUUCAAUCAAAACAAAAAAAAAAAGUUCAUAUUUUUCAAAUUUUAGCUAUGAAUUCAAAUAUUUCUUUAAGAAAUUAUAAACAGAUUUUAGAAAAAAUCAAAAACUAAAAAGUAAGACCUUGUUUGGUAUUUGGUCACUACUUCACGUUUUAGUAUUUAAAAGUAAAUCUGAGAACCAGAGUACAAAAUCCAGGAGAAAACAAGCAGAAAAUUCAUAAACAGGAAACCAAAAACAAAAUUGUUACGAACGAGACUUAAAUGGAUAUCAAAACGAAACCUAAAAUUUUGAAAAACAUAAAAUGAGAGAAAAGAAAACCUUCUGAAUUUGAUGGCGAGGAACAUCAUGUGGAUCAAGAGUUUCCAAUUCAAGUGAGUUCUAAUCAAAUCAACAGAACAAAUAAGAAACUCCAACACCAAAAUCAAUUACCAAAACAUAAUUAAAACAACCAACAUUAUAAAAAAAUUAAAACCUUGGCUUCAUUAUGACAAUGCCUACAAUCAAAGAUCUCAUCACAACAGGGCGCUCUAAUCUUACAUCUCCUUCGAUAAUGCAAGCACCUAAACCACAAAAAAUCUAGAUUAGAGAAAUUAAAUAAGAGAUAAAACCAAAAAACGUAGAUCUCAACAUUUUUCAUACAGAAAUAGAAACAAACCCGAAAUUCCCGGACUCACGAUCCGCUGCACAUGUAUUAUGGGAUUCAGAAAGUGGAGGUUCAAUGGAUGAUGAAGAAGCAGAAGAAGAUAAUGAAGCCUGAAUAUGAUGAAUGUCCAUUGUAUUAUGAAGCGGAGAGAAAAAUGGUUGGGUUUUGUUAUACAAAGAUUUGUAGUGCAGACUACGGAGAGGAGUUGGAGUGUGGUUUAAACCGUCAGCAAGGGUAUUUUCGGGAUUUCGCAGUUAUUUUUCUACGCGCCGGUGAAUGUACCGAGACGAUGAAAACGAGGCUUUAAAACUGUCAGUGAGGAUAUUUUCGGGAUUCCACAAAGGAAGCAGACCAUUAGCUUUUCACGCGCCACGUCAAGAAGAGGGGGCUCGGGUUAAAAGCCGGUAAAAGGUUAGGGUGAAGAACAUGCGCUAUGGGGAAGCGAUUGGGGGAUGGUUGAACAGUUCGCCGGAGGAUUCAGUGAAACAGCUGGCGACCGUUGAAACGCGCGGCAAAAUUGUUGUUGUUGUUUUAUUAUUAUUAUUAUUAUUUGGAUAGGAAGCUUUUAGCUGAGUAAUUGCUGACUAGGCUUCCACCUUAUCUUCCAAGGAACGGAACCGGAAAAAUGUGGGUCCGAUUUAGAAUCUAUAAUUAACUUUUGGGGUCUAAAUGGAUUUUUUUUUUUGUCUUUUAAUUUAUGUUUAAUAAAUUGUUCCUAACCCACACAAUGCGUUGAUGAAGAAAAAUGUUCGAUCUGAAUGAUCUUUUAAUAAAGAGAUAAACGUAAUUACAAAAUAAAACAUGAUGGGAUGUGUGUUGAUCAUAUCAUAACACACGUUCUUAUUCUUAAAUUAGAGAACAAUAAAUUAAAAGUUUGUGAACAGAGAGAAAACUUAUUUCUUCAGCUCCAGCCGGCUUAAGAAACAUACUUCAUCAUUUAUUUGAUUCCUUAGAUGCUAUUUCUAGUUUUUCUUUUUAGGCCGAUUAUGUCUUUUAGUCUAAAAUCAUCUAUUAAAAUUCUAAACUUUCCACUUUAGUCCAUUGGAAUUGAUAUGAUAUUUUAGACGCAUAAUUAAACUCAAACAAAAAGAAGCACAAGUUGAAAAAGUUGAUAGAUAAGAGACAGAUGGUUGGGGGAAAAUAGAGCAUGAUUGUGGAGUCCGAUGACAUGGAUGAAUCCAAAACCAAUCCACAUGGGCCUUGCUCCUCAAAAUGGGCCAAGUAAAGUACAUGGCCCAAUUAAUAAAGAAACAUACAAACAAACAAACAAUGAAGAAUGUGUAAGUUAAUAAUUAAAGGUUUAGGGUGGAAGGAAGUAUUAGGAAUUAAUUAAUUAAAGGGGUGGCGUGAGUCAGAGAAUGGAGAACGCUUAAUUGGCUUAUGGCACGUGGAGACAUAAGCCCAAAACGGUAUCCCCACGUGGGAAUUGUGUGUCAAACACAAGUAAUUAAGUUAAUCAAUAAACAAUUAAACUCCCACAAGAAGCUUAACAUUUAGGACACAAAUUUAAAAGCUUUUUGUUACAAAGAAAUGGGUUUUGCGGCCAAUAAAAAGCACAAAAUGAUGCAGCCGAUGAUGAAACCCUUAACCAAAUUCAUUUCAUUUACGUUGAAGAUUCUCUUUUUAAAUCGAAACUUCAACCUGACACGUGGCUCCUUUUUUUCUUUUUAUAAUUAUUAUUAUUUAACUAAAUUUUCCUUUUCCAUUUUAAACUAAACUAUAUCUCUAAAUUCUUAAUACAUUUAAACAUCCCAAACAUUUUAUUUGUUUAUUAUAUUGUCAAAAUAAUAUAUAUUUUAGUACAAUAAAGAUAUAGAGGGAUUCAGUGAAAAAAAAAAUUACUAUUUGUCAAAAUAAGUCAUCUUUAUUUUACUUCAAUAUUAGAAUCGUAGAAUCGAAAAAGUAUUCUAUUGAUAUUCUUAUUAUAAAAUAUAAUGAAUUGCAUCGAUUUUAAAUGUCAAACCUAGUAUAUUUGUUGUAAUGUAAGGUUUAUACCUUUUUAUACGAAACAACUUACAACUUCUAUUAUAUUUUGUUUUGAUAAAUAUUACGUGAAACUAAUAAUUAUGCGAACGAAAGUAUUCUUAUAUUUGUUUAGAAACAAACCAAUUUAGACUUUCAACUCAGCUUUUUGUUGAAGAUUGUUGGUUUCCAUUUUAUUAAUUUGAUUUUUUGAAGAAUUCUAUACACCUAAGAAUUGAAAUCAUUUGAAAAUGUAAUCUCAAUUCAAAGUUUAAUUAUAAUAUGUUACCAACAAUAUAUUUUUUAACUAAAUUUGAAGAAUGGUAUUAAAUGAUACAAUUAAAGAAAUUUAGAUAUUAAAUUGGAGAAUAGUACAAAAUAGAAAAUUUUACAAAAAUAUUUCUAAAGUAUAACAAAAAUUUAGAUUAUAUAAGUAACAUCGAUAGACAAAAAUAGAAGUUUAUAAGUGUCUACGAUCUAUAUUGAUAUAAUCCAAAAUCUCGUUAUGUUUUGUAAAUAUUUUAAUUUAUUUUACUAUACUUGAAAAUGUUUGGAUUAAGUUGAUAUAAUUAAAAAAAAUAUCAAUUAAACUUUAAAUUCUCAUUUUUUUAUUAUUUAGUUUUACUAUAUGAAAGGCAUAGAUUUAGACUUGCAAGUUUAUGGAAUUGAUAAAUUCAUACAUAUUAAAAAUAAUUAGCCUUACUUACAUUACAUAUUGUUGAACCAAAGCAUUAAAAGAAAUAUAUAUAUUUUUUAAAAAAACUAUAGCAUAAUUGAUUAAUUUAAUUUGCACCAACAUAAGCCUUCCUCAAAUUAAACCUUCCCAAGAACAAAUCACACAAAUGAUAUAAUUAUUCUAUGUUUUUAUUAAAAAAAGAAGAAAGAAUUAGUCUCAAUUUUAAAAUUUGACAUAGUUAAUUAAAUGUUUAAUAACCAUCCAUUUAUAUGUAGAGAGAGAGAAGCAAAAUGACCAAAGCUAAGUUGACCUUUAGUUAACAACUUAAUUAAGUAUUAUGUUUGAAGAUUGAAUUGAUACUGAUAUGCAUGCAUUUGUUAUUAUAGAUCUAAUCCCUGAAUUAAAUUUUAAUAUUUGCUAAUCAACUAAUCAGUAUGAAUUUACAUGAUUGGUUGUAAAAACACAUGUCCCUUCUUGUUGCUACCCAAUUUAUAUUUAACUUAACUAUCAUUUGGUUGAAGUUAUAGUAAUUAUGAAACUGAUCUUGAUAAAGAGAUAGAAAAUCAUGGAUUAUCAUUCCACGACAUCAAUGGUACCGGUAUGUUGUAGGAUUAGUAAAUCGAACUGAACAAUAUAAAAAAGAACAUUUGAAGUUAUUUCGAAUAUUUUAUUUUGAAAUGAAUUAUAAAGUUAGUUCAAACUUCUAGACGAGUAUUUAUUUGAUCUUGGAACCUUAAAGAAAUAUGUAACUGAUCUUUAAGGAUUUGUUUGGUAACUUAUUUGUUUUCAGUUAUUUGUUUCUGAAAUUUAAUAUUUGAAAAAUAGAUUUGUUUGGUAAUUGAUUCAUUGUUUUGUUGUUUAAACAAAAAAAAAAAAAAAAAACUUACUUUCAAAAUUAGAAAAAAAAAACUUACUUUCGUGUGAAUUGUAUCGUUGACUUGUUGGCAAGUUUUAUCUUCGCUAACGUGAAGUUAAAAUUUUAGACUCGUAUCAAAUAUAAAACUAGAAAAUAAUUGAAGUAAACUUAUCUGUACUGCAUCACCCCAAACCCAAAUUGGAAAGUUUCAUAUACUAAACUUGUAUUUAAUUAAUUAACUAAUCAAAUAAUUAAUUAAGCGUAACAUGUCAUGAUUAGUUAAUUUUUUUUCAUGUAGAUUCUCUAUCUUCCUCUGUUUAUAAAUUAGCCCAUUAAUCACUUUAUCUUGAUCCAUCAAAAUAUCAAUUUACUAAUAAAGUUUUGAAAUGGAGCAAUUUGGGAGGCAUUUAAUGACGGACAUCAACGAUCAAUUUGAGCUCCAAGAUUUCAUCCAUGGCGACAACUUUGAUCAAUAUGUGAAUCUGAUUCGUGGAGGGAACGAAACUCCGAUCUUCAACAAUAACUUUGAUCUCGAUUUCAUGAACGGUUGCUUGAUCGAGAAUCGUGUGGUGGAUCAAAGCUUGGAAUACAUUGUAGAUUCAAAUAUGGUGAUGAAUUCUGAUCCAAAUUCUCUGUUUAGUACAUUGGAGAGUUUCAAUAGCAUCAUGAAAGAAGUUGAAGAUGAAGACGAAGACGAAGAUGAAAACGAGUCUGUAGAGAAUUCUUCUUCCACAACCUCAAAGAAACCUAAGGCAGAUAGAACAAGAACUUUGAUUUCUGAAAGAAGAAGAAGAGGAAGAAUGAAGGAAAAGCUUUAUGCAUUGCGUUCAUUGGUUCCAAAUAUAACUAAGGUAUCAUCAAUUAAUCCUUACAUUCAUAAUAGUUAAUAAGUUUAGACAAUACUUUUUAAGAAAAAAGAAACAAAGGAAUGCAUUUUGAAUAGACAUGAGAAAAUGCAUUAACGAGAAUGAGAUAAUAAAAAUAAAAAUAAUUAUUAUUAUCAUUGUCAUUUAAAUUUUAAGUUUUAUUUAUUCCCAUUUAAUGUGAGAAAUAUUGUGUGAGGUUGGAAUACUAAUUAUUAAUGAUUUUGAAAUAGUUAAAAUCAUUUUUUUCGUAUUUAAAAUUGUGAGGAACAACGACCCCUACAUAUCUCCACAAUGAUAUGAUAUUGUUCACUUUACAUUCUCAUGACUUUUCUUUUGAUUUUUUAAAAUUACUUUUUACAAAUGAAGAUAGUUGUUCUCACUUAUAUCUAUAUAUCCAUGAUCAUCAUUUCAUUCACUGAUUGCAUGUGUAUAACCAUUUAAAUUCGAGUUUGGAAUGAAAUGGUAAAAUAUUGAAUGAAAGAUAUGGAGAACAAUGCAGAUGGACAAAGCUUCCAUCGUUGGAGAUGCAGUGUUGUAUGUGAAAGAGCUACAAAUGCAAGCAAAGAAGCUCAAAUCAGAAAUAUCAGUUUUGGAAUCUUCAAUCAACGAAACACAAAAAGUUCAUAGAGAUCAAACCAAAAAGAAAAUUAUUCAAACUUCAUAUUCUGACCAAUUCCUCCCCACCAAAAUAAUUCAGGUACAUUUUUCAAGUUUGAGAGACAAAAAAUUCGUUCAUGUUUUGUGAUGAAGUUCUUGAACCUAAGCUGGUACUAAUAUACAAUUUGGGGAUGUAUUUUCUUUUAAAGCUGGAUGUGUUUCAAGUAGAGGAAAGAGGGUUUUAUUUGAGGCUAGUUUGCAAGAUGGGUGAAAGAGUAGCCAUGUCUCUUUACAAAGUUCUUGAAUCUCUCACCAGCUUCAUUAUUCAAAGCUCCAAUUUGACUUCUGCUUCUGACAGAUUCAUUCUCACUGCUACAAUUAAUGUAAUUAUUUUUAAUUCAAACAAAUGAUUGAGCCGUUUUUGAAAAGCAAUCGAACACUUUAAACCGAAUAGAAUGCUUAUAAUCUGUUUUAUUUUGUAGGUGAGGGAUUGUGAGGUGGACAUGAAUUUGCCAAAUCUGAAGCUUUGGCUAACUGGGGCACUUCUUAACCAUGGAUUUGAGUUUUAAUCGCAUCUUUCUCCAUUUUUUAACUUUUCUGUUUAACCCUUUAAACUAAUACAGAGAUUGUAAUUAUUUUAAUUGGCAACUUUGUAUUUGAAUUUUGAAAUGGAGGGAGCAACAAUGCAUCAAUGUGUACUUUCGUAUUUUCUUAGAGAUUUGACUUCUUAAAUAAUAAACUUUUCAUCGAAUGCACUCAAUCCCAACUAUUGUACAUUACCAUUGUGCCACAGAAAAAUACAAGAUAAGUGAAUCGUUUUUUCACCAAAGUUGAAGAUUAAAAUUUUGUUCUCACCAUUGUUGAAUUAAACAAAAACAUUACCUACGUAUAAAGUAAUCCAACAUACAAGUUUGAUAAGAGCCACACAAUCUAUACAUCCCAAUAUAAAAACUUCAAGAGCUAAAUGAGAACACUUCAUAUCAACAUCUCUUGUUUUGGUUGAAUUUGAACUCCCAGAUUCAACAUGCAGUUCCAGUGAGGUUAGGAAUGUUGGCCAACAGCAUGGUGUGGGGGAGUUUUCCCAGGAACAUUGUUGGAAUGGUCAUUGCACAGUUGUGUUCCUUCGUGAAUGGAAGUUCAUUAUUUGGGAGGAGGAAUCAACAGCAAUGGGAAAUGGUUCAGCUUUAGAAAUAUCUUUAAAUCAAUGCAAUUGCGUUGAGCAAUUGAAUGUACAAGCUUUGGAGACGAAGGUCAAGUCAAUAUCACUGAACCAAACUUCACUAAACUUCACUUUGGCUCACUUUAAUUCAAAGGUUGUUCAGUUCUGUCACAAGUCACAAGGAAGUAAAACUAAUGACGAUCAGGUGCAAUAUGGAAAACCAAUCCUUACCAGUUCUAGAAAUGUAUAAUCCAUCAGUGAAAUUUAUCCCACAUGUCUGCUCCCCUCUUUGCUAAUGUGUCAUGGAUCAACUGUCAAGACUCUGGAAACAGUAGAUUGAUUGAUCAAUACAAAAUCCUCCCUGCAAUUGAAUCAUGAUUUAUGAUGAUAAUAUAGAGUAGACCAGAGAUAUUAAACAUGACUUUUGACCAACAAAAAAUUACAUUGCCCAAACGACAAGAAAUGUAUGGUUAAAGAUAAAAACCCCAACACCCGAUUGACCACUCCGGCUAAUCAUAGUUAUGUAUGAUGUACAUCACAUUAUAUGAAUAUUAUCAACCAAUAAGAAGCCACUUUCUACCAGGCCAGGAAGGAACUAUCAAUUGGAAUAACUUAACAAUAACAUUGACAGAUAGUUUCAAAUUUUCCAAUAAAAGCAGGACCAAUCACCAUAUACACAAAACCAGCAAAAUGCAAUACCUGGAGGCUGGAAACAGCUUAAUAGGCUGGUCUCAUCCAGUCUGGGAGAAGCAGCUCACAGUCACUGGGUAUUUAUUGCAUGCGUAUCAUUGUGAUAACCACCAAAGAGGAAGUAUCCAGGUAGACACUUCACAUUUUACAUCCGCCGUCAUUGCUUGGGAUAUCUGUUGGUGACAAAUCCAAGCGAAGAGUCCCACGUUAGAAAAGCUUAAAUUAAGUAACUAAUGUCAAGUAAACUAUUUCUAAUCACAUAGAUAUAUAUCCUAAAUCAUGCAGGAGCAAUACACGCAGAUAACAGGAAGUCAGAAACACCCUAGGAGGAAAUGAACAAUCCGGUAUAAAUACUUGAGGUGAGCUUGUGAGUAAAUAAAAUAAUAUGAAGAAAAAAAUCUAAUUAACCAUUGAGCAUGAAAAUACGUCUUACCAACACUUUGAUGAACCUGGUAAAAUAUGCGUGCAUCUCUUUUUUAUUGAAUGACUGAAACCCUUCACACAUGCAGGUCAUACAGAUCAAGUUUCCAAUGUUUAAAAUUCUGAUUAUGUUUGAGAUCCCUCAUCUAGAUUGCCAGACUUUGACAGGAUCUGUAAUGUUGUGCCCCCAAUAAUCCAUGCAGUCGCUUCAGGUUGAUGUUGAAGAGGGUUAAGAGGGUGGAAACUUCCAUCCUCAAGUUGCACACCAUAGACAAAUGGAAGCCUAAGUGUCAGAAAACUAUCGGGGGGCAAGACCAGUUGACAUCCAAAUGUGAACUGUAGUUUCUGCUGCCUUUCUGGAACAGAAGGGGGCAGACACGACUCCUGCAAGUAGAAGAUCAGUCAAGGGUGUAAUUGCACCAAAUAACAACAAUAGACCAUGGUGGCUGAGGGAAUGAAGCAUGUGAAAAGCUAAUUACAAUCGGGCUUGACUACAGAAACUAAAUUUUUAGAGAACUCUUCAAAAAUCACUCGCGUAAAACUAGGAAAAAAAUGCAAUACAGCAUGUUGUAAUUAGAAGCAACUAUAGUUUGGCUUCUUUUAACUGGUAGGGUAGAUAAGAGAAGCUAGUUGCUGUAACUCUACAAGGUUUUUUAUGGCAAAAAUUUGAUGGGUUGUUGAAAUUUGAUAUUACUAUCAAAGCAAGUGUGGGUGAAUUCCGGGAGAAAUUUUGGUCUCUGUUGGUUUUUUAUUUUUAUCUUUAGUUAGAAUUAGUGGGCUUUGCCCAAGGAAAGAUUUACCCUAACUUCCUUUCCUUUUUAUCAUAAAUUUGUUGUCAAAUUAUUUUCUCCUUCGUAUCUUUUGUUGAUAUGAACAAAUAAUAAGAAAGUCAUAUUGGUUUUUCUCUCAAUAUUCGAGUUUCCACAUAACUCAGUGUCUAUUUUCUUUUACCUCUUUUAAUAUGGUAUCACAGUAGGGUAAAAAUGAAAACACGAGUAUUGAUGAAACCAAAUAGAGACAAACGAGACAGCCGCCGCCGCCGCCAUGGAAAAUUUGCUCCACCAGCUUCAAAAGCCGCCGGUGAUCACAACGAGCCCACCCUGGAGCCAGCCAUGCUGCCUAGUGGAGGGAACGAGCCGCAUGCACCACAUCUAUUUGCCCACACGCCGCCAUCCGUCGUCUCCGCAAUUCAGUCAACCUACUCCCAACCGUGGUCCUCUGUCCAGCCUUAGCACCCUCUUGGUCAGCCGCACAUCCACUUACCACCGCUGCAUUCGUUUCACGCCUGACCUUUUUUCACGCAUCGUUACAUUUUGAUCCUUUACAGUCGUCGCACUUCUGUGGUACCAAGAUUGAUCAACUCCAUAAUAAAGCAAGGUUUGAAGUUAGUGAAUCUUUGGCACAAUCCAAACAUCGACUUGUCGAUGUAUUCCAAAAACUCGGUAACUUCGUUCCCUACUUUAUCCUCAAAUUAUAUGACUAGUUCUCUGGCACUAUCUACAAGUGUCUUUCCACGAGAGAAGCUGAAUGACCAUAACUAUAUUUCCUAAUUUCCUUUCCCAUUUUAUCAUAAGCUUGUUAUCUAUUUAUUUUCCCCUUUGUAUCUUUUGUUGAUACGAGAAAAUAAUAAGAAAGUCAGAUCGUGGUUUUUCUUCCGGUACUCGAGUUUCCAUGUAACUUUAUGUCUAUUUUCUUUUAUCGCUUUUAAUAUCUUUUAUAUAUAUAUAUAUAUAUAUAAUUUUAAUAAAUCAUUAUUGUUUCUUUUGCCACCAAUUCCUUAUAGAAAUAAAUGCAACUCACAAGUCCUUACAGAUGAAUCUUCCCUGAGUGUAUUCUUUGUAAAUGCAGUGGUAGAGUAUGGAUCAGCCUCAGCCACCUUAGUGACCAUUCACAAUGAAAUUUUGGUAAUACCUGCUAGGCACUUUCACUUUGGCCAUUCCCUCAAGAAUCUUAGAUGGUUCAGAGGUGCUUUUGUGCGGUCAAAGGUUCAAGAAAAUAGCAAAGGUGCUUUAACUUAAUGAUAGUAGGUCACUCUUGUGGGAAGGGUGGUUUGAGAGAUAUAGGAGAGUAGGAGUCGUUCUAAAAGGAGGAAAAGGUCUGGCAAAAUAUUUGGCAUGGGAAUAUUUUUCUGGCCUUCUCUUGGAAAGUUUCAUCUAAUUCUUUCUAAUAACUACUCCUUAUCCUCCAUUCAGUUGGAGAGUCCUUUUGUAACUCCUUUGACUUUUUGCAAGGGCAGUUACACUCCUCUGUAAAGAUUAUGGUUUUCAGUCAAAUUUUAUAUUUCUAAGUGAAAGAAUGUAUUACAGAGGUAUGGAAUUCAGUCAAAAAAGAUUCAAAACAUCUUUAAAGAGCUUUGGAUACUUCAAAAUUUCUGAAGGGCCAAUCUGGCUCUAUUCUGAAAGCAUACAGCUUGAAUCAAAAUCCUUUCUAGAGUCCUGGUCAAUGAGAGGAAGGAGUUUUAUCCUCGUAAAGCCAAGAUUAAUCCCAUCAAUGGUUUCCUAGGGAAAAUGCUGAUCUUCUCCUAUAAAAAAUUCGGAGUUAAAGUCACUAGAUAGGUGAAGUUUUUACCUUGGCGCUAUAUGGGAAAACCAGUGCACUGCACAAGGUUCAAAAAGCAAUUCUGACUCCAACCUUUAGCCAAAUAGGAAUUCUUUUCAUUAAGGAGUGAGAAAGUCAAACCCACAUUUUCGUUUAUUGUUCCUUCACAAAAAGUAUGUGGCACAAAUUACCUACUGGACCACUUCAAGCUGCCCUGGAGUCAUCCAGGGAGUAUGGAUAAGGCCUUCUUUCAUCUCCUGCUUGGCAACAUUUUCAGAAGGUUUAAUACUUGUGGUCAGUUUAUUUACCGCUAUGGUUUGAGAAUUAUUCUAAAGAGGAACAAAAGAAGUCCUCAGAAAUCAAUGUGUGAGGGGGAUGUAAAGGAUCUUGCUUUCUUCUAGUCACGAGAUGGUAUACUCAGUACUAAAAAUUUUGUAAUUUCUUUCAUUUUCUGUCCAUCCCAACUAGAGACUUUUUAUGAUAACUUGGUUCCGUUACUUCUAUACGAGUUGAGAUUUCUUCGUUUCCUCUCUUCCGUACUUUCCUCCCAACAAUAUAAUUGCUGUAUAUCACAACAAGAAGGGGAAAAACUCCGAUAAAGCAGGGACCAAAGCUGUAACUAAUGCUCAUUACUCAGUGGACAGACCAUUGUAAGUACUAACUUUGAUAGAUUUGAUAAGAGAAAAUAUAGAGAGAUGAGAGAAACAUAUUUUCCAUCCCGAUUAAAUUUUCAAUGCUCAAGCCAAGUCAAACCCAAAGAGAAACAACACAGCAAGGGCUUACUUGAAGUAUAGUUUAAAAAUGGGAACUUUUCUUUUUAAAAGAACAAUUGUUUUCAUUGAAAAAAAAAUAAAAGAACGGGAACAUGUUAGGAUGUGGUAAUAAGAAAUGCUUUUUCUCCUUGUGUUUUAUGAUAAUAAAUCAAAGAAGUGAGUGGAUUUUGAUCACAUUGGAAGGCACUGUUUUUCCCCCUCAACUCCUAAUAUCAGACAUUAAAGAAUGAAACAAACAAGAAAUUUUACAAAUCAACUAAAUCUAUUUUGGACUCUAAUAUAAAUAAUAUAUAGCUCAACAUUUCAAGUUCCAUUCUAAAAUAAUUAGGAAUGCACAUUCAUAGAAAAUCGAGACAAACCUCAAAUUGUAUCACUGGAUGGGUAGCCAAAACUAUUGGAAAGGGAGGUGUCACCUGGCAUCACAUUAUGAGUUAUUUUUUGGUUAUUGAUUAAUCAAAAGAAAGCAGUAUGAUAAAUAAGAUGCUUCUUUACAACAUGUUAGAAACCAAAAUUAUGAAAAUUAUACAUUUCAUCAUGGAAUGUGAACAGUCAAGAGCUUAGUAUGCCAUAGUUCAAACUUUUAAAAAGGUGAACAAAAAAAUGGACCUAAUAUUUCUUAAAAAAGUAAUUUCACGAUGGAAUUUACAAAGAGGGAAGAGGAUCAAAACCCACUUCAGCUCUAUCUAAGAAUUUACAAAUAGCUAGCAUGUGUUUGGAAGUGCUUUUGAAAUGACAAACGUACUUGAGCCAUUCUUAAAAGCAUUUCUCCCCAACAGAGUAACAUAAAGUGCUUUGGGGAAAAGCAGAAAAAUUGCAGUGCUUUCUGUCAAAUGUCUCAUAAAGAGUGCUUUUAAGAAUGUUAAAUUGAACGUCAAAGUGAUAAAUAAUUAAGCAUGUUAGAAAGUACAUUUUGAAAGGCUGUUGCAUCUUGCUCUUGCACUUCAAAGAACACCUUGGGAUGAUGUUCUAUUUCUAUGACAUUGACAAUGAACCCAAACUUAACAGAAUACUAUGUAAAGAUACUACAACUGUAUCUUUGUAUAGAAGUUCUCAAAUGAAUUACAAUAUAAGUUCUUCAACAAAAUACCAUAUAAGGUUCAAAUUCCAGAAAAAAAUUACCAGAACACAGUGGACUAACACUUACGUAAGGGAAAUCUAUAAUCAACAUAAAGACCUCAACGAGACAAACGAUUAAAACAAUGUCGAACAAUAAAACCUGGACCCUUUUGUCUUCUUCCCCGCAAGGAUGAAGCAGCCACCUCCUUUCCAGAAAUUAUCUUCGAUACCUCUCUCUCUCUCCUUCUAUUUAUUCUAACUAACUGCUGGGCCCCACUGUGUGGUGGUCCUGCCCUUUUUUCCUCUCCCCCUGACCCACGUGUAAUUCUGUUUUUUCCCUUAUUCUUCCUACUAUACGUGAUAAGUAUAGGGGGUCUAGCAUAUUAUUAGCUUAUUGCCUAUUCAAAAAAUAAAGUCCACGUAUAUAUGUAAUGUUAAUAUACUAUUAAGUUAUGGUAAUUCAACAUAGCAUUACUUUUACCACCUAUAUUUUUUUUUUUAAAAUGAGACAAGCUCCUUUAUUAUUAAUAAACUCAAAGUACAAGAGAGCUAUACAAUGAGAAUAAUAGGGAAGCUAAGAAAUGGGGGAGAGAGGGAGAAAGGAUCAGUAGGUGCACCCGAACAUCUCAACUAGGUUGACACCCCCAUAGCACCCUCAUCAUAUCCAAAAUACAAAGAACAAGAACAAUACUAAGGUCAUGAAAAGACCAAAGUAAACCAACGGCUUUAGGAUCCUAAUGAAAGCAAUGAAUUUAAGAAUAAAUUCUAAAAAAAAUAGUAAAAAAAAUUAAAAGGAUUAAUUGAGAGGGUGAAAUAAAUAUAUAUGAUGUUAUUUAUUAACUUCUAGAUGAUUAUUGUCUUUAGUACUACUUGGUUAUUUAUUUUCGUGCCUAUUAUCAAUAUUCCUUCAAUUUAAAUCAAGGCUUAUCCCUCACGCUGCCUCAAGGCUUAUGUUUAAUCCUACAAAGGAGAGCCUUGCGACCAUUUUAGGCUUAAAAAAUACUAGCAAAAAUAGAUGACCAGGAUAAAAAGAACCAAGAUAAGAAUGCAAAAACAAUAAUCUCCUACAACUUUUCCGCAGGUUCCCCAAUGGUUUUAAAGCAUCUUCUCUUCUUGGUCAAAUCAAUCAAAGGACACCAAAAAUCAAAACCAAUAUAAAGUUUAUGGCAUCAUCAAAGAAAGCAUACACUGGAAAAGCGUAACACAGCUGCAACAAUACUUAAGAGAGAACUUAAGGCAUUAGAGAGGGAAAAAUAAAAAUAAAAAUUGUAAAAGAAUGGCGUACCAUGAAAAUCCUUUGAAGUUGAGAUAUUGUGCCAGAGAACUUAACAUUUGGGGGAUCUUUCUCAUUCUUUGAGAGCUUGCAAUGUGGGCAGUUCAUGAAAAUUGGUAGGUCUCGGUUCAACAUGAAGAAACCAGAUCCAUUGUCCUCACUGCCAAUAGACUUAACACCUUUUUCUAGGUCCUUCAUAGAAUUGGAGACCGUUGCACUAACAGAUGUCAGAUUGUUUGCUGUCAUUCUUCUAAUAUUGUUUGACUGGUCAUCUGAAUACAUGCUACCACCGCUAACUGCAUCCUUUAACUUAUCUAAACUUCUUUGCUUACUUGAGCCAGUAGCAUUUGCUACACUAACACUAUCGCGAGCUUUACCAUGACGAUCGCUUUUACCAUAUUUCAGAGGAUCAACCAUAUUGCAUGCAGCACCUUGCGCAUGAGUAUGAGAUUCUUUAAUUGUGGCAAAAGGCGAUCCAAGUUCCUUAAGAUGGUCAGGAUUUAGUAGGAAGCGGUGCCCAUGAGGGCAUUCAUGUUCAAAGCCAAUAUAUACAAGUGUUUGCUUCAGAAGAGGGUUUUUAGUUUUUUCAAGACUAUUGGCAUUCAUCGGAACUACAUUAGUACCUACCUGUAGAAAGGCAUUGCUAUCUAAAUGCUCAUUGUUGCUAAUCUCAUUUGAGUUUUUUGAAAGCUUAAUAACAUUUUCCAAGUUCCUUGAGCCAAGGUUAUCGACAGUAACAUAGCCUCGUUCAUGACUAUUAACAACCUUACUUUGCUUGAUACGCUUAUCAAUAUCUGAUGAAGAAUGUUUCCUCUGCUGGAGGGGUGGAAAUCGAACAUCUACACCUGAUGAUCCAGCCACAACCUCAGAAAAAGGUUUUCGCAGGGUAAAGUUGGGAAGGAUUCUACCGCUUGUGCUUUUUUUAUCUUCAGCUUUAAUGUUACCUGUGAAAUUUCUUUCAUUAUGGAUUCCAGACUGUAAAUCCCUUGACUUCAGUUGUGCUACAUCUGCCAUCUUUGUGUUUACAUUUACAUUAGGUUCAACCUUAGAGUCUACGAGUGACUUAAUUAAGGAACCAUGCAACAUUAUAUUAUCUGUAAAAUCGAUUGGAGUCUUCCUGAUUCGAGUACUAAUUUUCCAUUUGAGUAGGAACUUUUGAGUCAGACAAAAUCCACUCUGGAGUAAACCUUUUGAAGGAUCGUAGUACUUUGCACCACCAACUCGAAUCAGAGUCCAUGAUGAUGGUUGAAUGGGUUCUGUCAUGCUUACUCCUGGGAACUGUACAAUUGGAAGAAAAUUGUCACAGUCAGCAAAUCGGUUGAAAGUAACAUUUGCUGAUUCAAAAUCAAAAGGAUCAGAUCGUAGUCGUCGUGAACGGCCACAAGCACAAGCAUGUAGGAAGACAUAUCCACUUGAAUGGUUUUUUGGCAUGGUUUCUAAAGGCGAACCUCCAUUCUCAGUGCUGUGUCUCUGAUGCAUACAUGGUUUUCCAGUCAGACUAAUAGCAUCACACAGCUGCCUCCCAGAAUUCCAAAUGGAUUUGCAUUCUUCCUCCAACCUUUUUGCGAAACGUUGCACUGCAGGUCCCUUAACCAUUGAAUGGAAAGCAAGCAAAGCCUUCUCCAGGUGGGCUUCAUGCUGUGAAGUAGGGUAACACGCAGGUAAUUCUCUUAGAUAAACCUCUUUUGCAGCUGGCAAUGCUCUUUCACACCAUGAAGUUGAAAACUUCAUAUUUAAACCUUUACCACUUUCCAACCAAGAUACAGCAAUAUCUAAAGGAUCCAUACCCUUCAAAGCAUUUCCCUCAAUCGAUGAAGAAUGAAUGUGCCGAUGACGUGGUUUUCGUUUAUUAAUUUCCACUUCAUCUAUGCAACCACCUUUUGCAGAGAGAAUCCCCUGGAGAAUUUGUUGACUUGAAGACAACCAAAUUUCCAUACUUGGUAGUUCAGGAGUAGUAAAAGUUUUUCCAGAUGCAACAGAUGCUGCAGCUGCAGCAGCUGCAACAGCGACCAUGCCAACCCCACCAGCUGAACCACUGCUUGCACUAUGAACCAUUCCACCUCUACCCCUUAGAAUAUCAGACUGUCGAUAAAUAAAUUCCUUUAGAGAUACUAUAUCCUCUUUGCUAGCACUUUGACCAAGACUUUCAAGAAGAAGAGAAUCAGAUGUAGUUUUUCCAUUCAAAACAUCUUCCACAAGGCUUGUGGCAAACUCCAGAGACUCAGCUGUAUUAUUUGUUGACCUAUCCACCAGAACAACAGCUUUUGAUGCAUCAAGUGAAAACAAAGGUGCAGAACUUGAGGCGCCUCCACCUCUAGACCCAGCAUGACUGGUGUCAGAACCAGUAAGCGUUCGACAUUUCUUGAUUAGAAAACGAAUUUGUGCUUCAAGAGAUGACUGCAAUUUCUUCCUGAAACCACCUUCUGAUUUGCUCACAGGACGGGCAAGCACAACUACAGAUCCAGAACCUUUAACUGGCACAUUUGGCCUAGAUAUACUGUCUGAACUUGGAGAUUGAUUAAGUGAUGCUGUAUCUAUUCCCUCCACAUUGGAACUAAUCAUUGGGCCAUCUAAGAAGUCAUCAACGAAAAUAAAAAGUAUGACUGGAGUACACUGCCCAGGAAACAAUGAGGUAUAAGAACCUAAACCCGACAUUACAGAGAUGCCGGAAGCAUUGCGUGUUAAGAUAGAACCACUUCUAAUUGGAGAAGAAUUAUUAGACACAGGUGCUGAAGCAACAGACCGUGAGGCAGAUGAAGACUGCAAUCUAGAUGGCAAUGGUGGUGUAGCACGAGAUUUUACAAAUGGAGUUAAAACAUGCUUAGCAGAUUGUAAAGCUCUAAACUUUUUCAAAAUACUAGUAUCAAACCGCGACCCCUCCUGAAUAUAUAUGAUUACAUGGCAAACCUGCACCAGUAAUUGAGUUAAUCACAACAUUUCGAUGAUACAGACAAACAAUCCAAUUCAAACGAUCUUGAAGAAAAUAAAUGAGAAAUUGAGAAGCACUCACAGAGAACAUAAAAAGCAUUCCCUGAAGAUCGCCAAAAUCAUGCUCCUGAAUCUCCGAAUCAUAAUCUGCUUCCACAUCAAACACGGAGCUCCUGUGGGAAGAAAAUUGCAAAAAGAGAAUGCCCCUUUCCUCCUCGUGGUAAUAACUAAUUCGUCGCCGCUUGAACCAUUCUCGAACUUCCUCUUUCUCAACAUCUAAUUUCUUAUCCAAUUUACCGGAACCAAAGACAUUGGAAUCAAUAACCCGAUUGAUGAGUUGAAUCGAAUCAUCGGGUCUCCUCCCAAUGAAACCGACGACAACGACGGUGUCGGAAAAGCGAGGAAGGGAUGGCAACGGCGAGGAAGGAGGAAAUGAAGUAGAGGGUUCCGGUGAAGCAGAAUGAGGAGGGAGAGGAGUUGGGGAAGGUGAAGAGGAAGAGGAAGUGGGAGUUGAUAAUGGUGGCGGGCGGAUAAGUACUCGGACGGAGGAGGAAUUGGGUACGUCCAUGAAUGAGAGAAAAUUUUGAGCUUUCAGAUGCAACUGAAAACUGCUUCACUGCUUUCACUUCCGAUGACCGCCGAGGCGGGGAAACUUUAAUUUUUCCUUGCCCUUUUCCCUUCUCCAAUAUUUCCCUUUUACAUUUCAUUUGCAAAAUUAUUUAAAACCACACCAUUCUAAAUAUAGCAAUAGCAUACCAUACAUUAUAUUUCAUAAAUAAUAAUCUAUCUUUAUCUUCUUUCCAUUUUCUCAACAAUAAAUCUUACUAAUCCUAAAUUAAGUUUAAUGGCAAAGUUUUAAAUUCUAUCCAUAAUAGAAAUGGAGAGCAAGACUAAGCGAAGAGAAUAAGAAUAAUUUUGGUAAUUUCAUGUUGGACGACGAAAGAAAGCAAAACAAAUGCCAAAAAUGUCUAAAUGGUAGCUCAAAUUUCAUUUAGAUCUCCCAUCCCAAAUGGUAUCAUUUCUCUAAUUUUAAAUACAUCACACUUAUUACAAUAUUAUGGAUUGGUUAAACAAAGUAAAUUACAAUAGGACUAAAUUUAUAAUUAAACCUCUUAAUUGGGUUUGAGAGAAGACCUUUGAAGCCACGAGGGGUCGGGUGCGAAAGAGACAUAUCAUAUAAGCAGUUGGUUGCUGUAAAGUGGCGCACUCAUAUCUACUGGUAGCCUCCAUUUUCAAUCUCUCAUUAUCCCAUUAUCAUCGACAGUACCCCAUAGCUAAUGCAAGCAGUUCUUGCAGCUAUGGCCGCACAAUCACUUCUAUCUGUUUCCCUUUCCAACUACGUCGCAUUGCCCCCAUUCUCCAAUUCUUCAUCUUCAUCUUCUCUUUCUCUCACCUCCUCUUUCCAUGGCGCCUCUCUCAAACUCCCUCGCCACUCCCUCUCCCUCGCUGCCUCCGUUGCCCCAAAACCCCUUGCUAUCGUCGCUGCCACCAAAAAAGCUGUCGCUGUCCUCAAGGGAACUUCCGCCGUUGAAGGCGUUGUCACGCUCACCCAAGAGGACGAUGGUCUGUACACUUCUUACUGAUUAGUUUUUGAUUUACCCUAAGACUUGAGGAGGGUCUGAAUCAAUAUUUAGUAAUUUGCUUGUUUUUGGCUGUUUGAGUUAAAUGGGUGCAGGAAUUGGAAUAGAAGUGGGUUUUUUAUGCGUCUGGGUUAUGAGAUUGAUAUUGGCUUUGAUUGAAAUGUGAUACGUAUAAAGUGGGUUCUUAAUUUUUGCCUGCAUUUCGUUGUUCUUGACAUUUUUUUGUCCUGAUGUAUUGACACGCACAUAAGUUGACUUUUAACUUCAGGAGCAUGAUUGUAUUGAUUUUGUGACGUUUCCUUUCUCCCAGGGUCUGUUGUAACUAUGUUUAUUCUAUGACCAAUGAACUUGUGAUGACUUUUCCCCGUCCGAAAAUUACAAUUUAUAAGCACAAUAUUAGUAAUAGUAACAAAGGUAACAAUAAUGAAGAUGGCAAUGGUAACGAUAGUAGUAGUACUAAUACUGUGAUUCUGAAAAAUGUUGUAUUGUUUCUAGGUCCAACAUCUGUCAAUGUGCGUAUUACCGGGCUCACCCCAGGUCUUCAUGGAUUCCAUCUUGUAAGUAAUUGCACUGAGGCUGCCAUCAUCCAUGGGCUUUGUUGCAAAUUCAACCAGCUAGUUGAAUGUCUGAAAUGUUGUUUUAAUCAAUACCCCUUUGUAUUUCUUCGUGUAGCAUGAAUUUGGAGACACAACAAAUGGAUGCAUUUCUACAGGUAGUGCAUGAUCCCAUGUUCAUUUUUGAGCUAGAUAUAGCAUCAAGAAGUUCUUGCCAGUGUGGUUGUAUUUUUGUACAAGUUCAUCCGUGCUUCUCAUUUGUUGUUAUUUAUUUUCAACUGUAGGAGCACAUUUCAAUCCUAACAAGUUAACGCAUGGUGCUCCCGAGGACGAAAUCCGACAUGCGGGUGACCUGGGAAACAUAACUGCCAAUGCUGAUGGUAUAUGCUUUUCUUCUUUCUUCUUUGAUAGAUGCAUCAUUUUAUGUUUCAUAAAUUCAUAGCUUCUAAUUCACCGUUGCAAUGUUUUUUGAUAUACAGGAGUAGCAGAGGCAAUCAUUGUAGAUAACCAGGUGCGACUUUGAGUAUUGUUUCUAUUAUUUUAUCCAUAUAUGUCAUCAAUCAUCAUCACAACUCACAUACUCAGAACCACCAUGAAUGGACAUUGUAAUAAGUAAUAACUAUUAAUGUUGGUAGUGGCAGUGUUGCUGGGAGAGGUUUUUGUGUAUAUGAUACAUGCAUAUCUAUCCCUUCAGACUGCAGCUACCUUAUUAUCAACAAAUUUAAAACAAAAUAAUGUUCAAGCCUUUAUUUUAGAUCUACCCCUCUAACAUACCCAGUUAUUAAUUCCUUUAUCUGUAGAUUCCUCUUAGCGGCCCCUAUUCUGUAGUUGGAAGAGCCUUUGUGGUACAUGAGCUUGAGGAUGAUCUAGGAAAAGGUAUGUUCAAUUCAUUGUUUCCGUUUAAUUACAUGUUUGACACGUACUUUUCUCUUGUCAUUUGAUCAACCUACUUAAUCGAUUUAUCAUACAGAGAUACUGACUAAGAGAAUUUAAUUUAAUUAAUUUAUUUUCUUGUUAUCUUAUCUUCAUUAAACUAAACAGAUUAAGCUAUUAGUAUUAUUAAUUCAAUUAUGGAAAAAGAGAUUUUAAUUCUCUUUAUAGAUAGAGCCUAUUAGCCGUUGAUAGCGACAUUUGCAUUAUUUAACUGGGGUUUUCUUUCUUCCACUAUCAAAUUUAAAUUUUUCUGGUUAUGAUUAUGUAGGAGGUCAUGAACUCAGUUUAACCACUGGCAAUGCGGGUGGAAGAUUGGCAUGUGGUACGCGGACUAAAAGAUCUUUUUUCUUCUCUCAAGAGUCCAUAGUUCCUUUUUUCUCCACACUUCACUACUAUAUUUCUAAGAUAGCUUAAUUUGUUCAUUUUAAAUAAGUGAUAAACAUGGGUGAAUAAACUUCAUUGAGCACUUCCUCACGAAUUUCAUUCAUAUCUCAUAUCAUCCUAACCUCUGCUCAAAGAUGCAAAGAGAUCCAUAGCUUCAUUUAAAUUAUUUAUUCCAGGUCUUGUGCUGUUAAGUGUUAUGCAUACCUCAUGCCAUGUAUGUGAUUUGUUAAACUAAUUUGCUUUGAAUACUGAUUGUACUCUGCUCAAAGAUGCAUGAAGAGGUAUAACUUUAUUUAUAAUUCUUAGUCCAGGGCUUUCUCAUAUCUAUUUUGUUUUAAUGCAUACCUCAGGCCAUGUGUGUGAUUUGCUAAACUAAGUUACCUUUGCAUACUGAUUGACCUCUGCUCAAAGAUGCACGAAGAUUUAUAACUUUAUUUAAAAUUCUUAGUCCAGGGCUUUCUCAUUUCUAUUUUAUUAUGUAUACCUCAGACCAUGUGUGUGAUUUGCUAAACUAAGUUAUCUUUGCAUACUGAUUGACCUCUGCUUAAAAAGAUGCACGAAGUUUCAUAACUCUAUUUAAAAAAAUUUGUCCAGGGAUUUCUUAUAUCCAUUUUGUUGUUAUGUAUACCUCAGGCCAUGUGUGUGAUUUCUUAAACUAAUUUACCUAUGCUCAAAGAUGCAUGAAGAUUCAUAACUUUAUCUAAAAUUCUUAGACUAGGGCUUUCUUAUAACCAUUUUGCUGUUGUGUGAUUUGCUAAACCAAGCUACCUUCGUACUGAUUGACCUCUGCUCGAAGAUGCAAGGAGAUCCAUAGCUUUAUUUAAAUUAUUAGUUCAGGGCUUUCUCAUAUUCAUUUUGCUGUUAUCUAUACCUCAUGCCAUAUGUGUGCAUUUUAAGUUGCAAGGCAGGUAAGUGAGUAAAGUAUAUUUCAAUUAUCAGGCCCUUCGUGUAGGUAGAUAUGUGGUCUAAAAUUAUCUGCGCUGGCUAUUUUUCUGCUCUGAUAGCCUGGCAUGACACUUUUCCACCUUUUUCUAGAAGACGUACUUUUGAAUAGAAGCUAGAAAGUAGAACCUACUCAAGUUAAAAGAGUUCUGCAGAAAGAAUCAGCAUAACUCAUGUGUAGCUGUUAAUAAUCUCUUAAAUUAGCCACUAAUCAACUGCAAAUCUAUUGCUUUGCUCGAGUGCCAUUGACUGGCAAGAGUAAAAUCCAGAAAUUCCCUAUUAGCUUCUAAGAUGUCUAAAUAUUGUUAACUUGUAAAAUAUCAACCAGAUUUGUGCUAAACUGCUAAUUGGCCGAUACAACAGAUUCUCAAUCUUGUUUUCAUCUUUGCAGGUGUUGUCGGUCUUACUCCUGUGUGAUGGUGACAAACAAACUGUGUAGCCUAUGAGGUCGGUACGAGGUAUAUGGAAGCACUAUUAUAUUGUCAACCACUUUUCCACAGUCUCGAGUUUCUUUUCUUUUGUUCAGCAUAUAAAUUGUAGUCUUGGGAAGACAGUUUCUUCACAUACUCAUUGAUACCUGUUACUGUGCUUUCCAUUAGCUGAAUAAAAUUGACCUGCUGCUUGAGCUAAUGUGUUUGAAUAAAGAUUUGUUAACUUCAGAGACUUUUGAAGAGAUAUGAUGUUGACAAUCCCUUUCACCUUGGCUGGAUAUCACACCGCACUCCUUUCCUCCAUGUUUGAAAUCUUUUAGAACUAUAGUUAUUAAAAUAAGUAAUUGCAAUUCAAUUUGAAGUUUAGUGUAUGGUUCCACUUGCAAUUCAAUUUCAUGUGGAUUCCAAGUACUUGGCUCCAAGUUCAUUACAUGUGAAGGUAGCAAUCCUUUGUUGUGGAUGAGACACGUGGAAGGUGUUUUUGAUGGCAAUGUAAUUCUUGUUGGAAAAGCCAAACAAAACCAUAACCUGCACUACCAAGCAACCUAAAAUCCCAUUUACAUUACAAGAAAACAAAAAUCUUAAUGAUAAUAACAAUAAUUCAAGCAACCUGACCCUAAUUAGGCAACCACUCAUGUCCCCUUCAUUUGUUCAUAAACAUUCAAACACUUUUUGUAGCACCAAAAAGCUUUGAAUAUGAUUAAGACCUGUCUCCUUUUCCUUUUUGUUUCCACUCUCUUCUUCUUAAUCAGUGAGUAGAUUAAUCCAAAUAUACUCUUAAUUUUGUGCAACUCGGUUCUAGUAGACUUUAAUUACAUACUUUAACCAACCAAAACAUCAACAGUAUUUCGUAGAGAUUAGAAAAUGAAGUUAAAUAAAAGUGAAAGGAGAGGAGUAAACCGAAAGAAAGAAAGAAGAGAAGAGUAAAGAAAAUAGGUAUGAGUUGCAAAGAAGAGGAAAUGGAGUGUUUUUAAGUGAAAUGGUUGCUUCAACAUAAUAUGUGGUUGGAGUUACACUUCACGAGGGGGGCAUGGAGUUAGAUUCACGAACUGAAAGACAACCAAAGCCUAACUUUAGGCUUGCAGUUGGCUUCCAGUCAUUUUCUUGCACGAAUAUUGCUAUCUUAACUCUAUUUUUGCAUACCAUUCAUUUUUCUUUUCUUAUUAAAACAAUCUUAAUUUUUUUCUUUUUCUUUUUCUUUAAAAAAAGGAUCACUCAAAGCUCUUUUUUAGUGCAUGUAAGUUGAGGUAUGUGCAAAACAUAUAUAUAUACACUAUUGAUUGAUAGAAAAAAAAAAAAGUGAAUUAUUAGCCAUAUUAGAUAAUCAAGCUUAAAAAAUGAUUUUUGGUCUUUAAUUUUUAAAUUUGUUUAAAUUUAGUUUUUCUUAAAGGUAUUGUAAUAAACUUGAGUAGGAGAUUUAAAUCCAAGAUCUUUUAUUCUCAAGUACUUCUAUAAUUAUACUGAUUUAAAUUUAGAUUUUAUACUGGAUAAUUUGUGAAAAAUAAUAGAGAUAAAUAUAAUUUGCAUGUAAUGCUUGAAAUUUGUUAUAACUGCCCCAAUCUACUUCUCAAACUCAUCAAUAUGACCAUCCUAUCACACCCACACCACUAAGAAUAGAGAGUAAAGGGAUUUAAUGGCAUAAAGUGUUAAAUUCAACUUUCUCAUUAUACAAAAAAAUAAAACAUUAUAUUAUUAAUUAUAUGAAAGCACAUUAUUAUUUUUCUUAAUCCACCCAUUUAGGUACGAUUAGAACUAUGAAUUUCAAUCACUACCUAUACUAUAUUCUCACCAAAUCUUAAAGAUUACAUACUACUAGUUUACUAUAUCAAAAGUCGAUAGUUUCAUCUUUCACUUCUCAAUUAUUAAAAUAAUUUAAAAAAUAUAUGAAAAUUAAAUAAAAAAGAGUAAAAGAAUAUAUAUCUAACACACUUCCAACUAUCAUGAAACUAUUGACUAAAUGAAAUUAAAAUCAAUGUGGUAAUACCAUGAAUUGUUGGGAAGAGGUUUUAUUUGACUAAUUCAUUAGAGACACAUAAAGCAUUAAAAUUCUUUCAUAUAUCAAUAUAAUUUAAUUAAGAUCAAUAUAAAUAUAAAGAAGGUUAAUUUAGGUUUAGUGAUAAUUAAAUCAAUUUUUUUUUUCUUUCAAAUUAAGUAGUUGAGAUCUAGUUAGAAGGAUAUAAAAGAAAGUGGCUUGCACAAUACUCUCCUUAUUUGGCUAUCUUAUAAGAUAAGACAAUGGCUUUUGAGUAAAGCUAUGAAGCAUUUUGAAAAAUGCUUCUCUCUUUCUUUUUAUAAAUAUACACACAUAGUAAUAUAGAAACUUAUAUAUAUAUAUAUAUAUUUACAUUAUUGGAUUGGUUAAGUGUCUAUGGAUAAAUGAUUAUAAAAUUGGGUAUGACUUUCUUACAAAAUUUGGUCCUUUUUUUUAGAGUAAGCAAAGUCUCUAUCCAUAUGCUUCAAAAAUAAGAUAGAAAAGUAUACAACCACUUUUUUUUUUCUCCAUAUAUCUCUCUUAUAUAUAAAGAUUAAAAAAAAAAUUAUUUGUUUCAUACUUUAGGAUUAUAUUAAAUUAAAUGUCUACAUGCAUGUUUAUAACUUUACUUAUUAUUAAGCAACAACUAAGAAUAACUUAGUCAAAAGGUCAAAUUAAUCACAUCAUCUUGGUUAGCUUUUCAAUUAUAUUUGGUAUAGCUAACUUAUAGCAAUUAUAGUUUGCUUAUUUUUCUAAUUAGAUCCAGAAGUAAAAUCUAGAUGCUAAAAUAAUUACAAUUAAUUGACGGAUAGAAAAAAUGAAAUGGAACUUAAACUUUCCACUUAGCUAACUAACUAUUUUAAUAUUAUAAUUGUUUGUAAUAUAUAUUAUACAAAGAGUCUAAAGUUGAGAGGUUCAACUUUAACUAAACUUGUUCGUGCAUACAUACACAUAUCAGUUAACCUAAGCUCAUGUUUGGUUAUAUAUUUUAUUUUUAUUACUAUGUCGUAUGUCAUUUAAGAGUUCAUCGAUUUAGAAAGUCUAUACUUGUGGAAAAUAAAAACCUAAGCUUAGGUAAAGUUUAACCUUAGGUAGUGUUAUGUUUGGGUUUAUAUUUAAGUGCGAUUAGUAAAUCAAAAAAGUUAAUUAUUGUAUAGUACAAUUAACUAUAUAUAUAACAAAACGUCAUGAAAAAUUGGAAGUAAUUUAGUUUAUUUUUAACUUGGAAACACUUCUGUAUGUUAGUCAGACCGUUAAUAUUUACUUACAUUUUUCAAUAUAUUUUAAAAGAAAUUACUUUUAGAAAGUAACUAAUUAAAAAACAACAAUUACAUUAUAAAUUACCUCUAUCUCUAACUUAAACAAAAUAGAACUUAAUUCCCAUACAUUAUAUAAUGGUUAAUUUUCAUAAAUAGAACGAUAAAAUAUUUACAUCUAUAGAAUAACUUAAAGAAAAGCUUAAUAUUUUUUUUUUGUUUUUACUCGUUUACAACUAUUUUUUAAUUUCGAUUCUUUCUCUUCUUCUCUAUUUUUUUUUUUUUUGCAUCAUUCUCUAUCCUCUCUUUUUUAUAAUCGCCAACAAUAAUUCUUCUUUCAUCGUUUUUCUUCUCCUCUUUUACAAUUUUUUUUCUUUCCAUUAUCGUUUUUCUCAUAACUUUUCUUUUAUUUUUUUUCAAAUUGCUUUUUGGUUCUAGAUUGUGUACCAAAUAUACAUAUACGUACAACCAAAUUUAAUCGAAUUAUUAAAAAAAAUCUUUUAGAUUUGGCUUACAAAUUUAAACGAUUCUAUAUUAAAUCUAAACCUAAAAAAUAGCCAAAUUUGAGUGUACCAAAAAUAUUUUUAAAAAAUCAUUUAGAUUUUAUUUUAGAUUUAGAUUUGAUGAUAUUCUCAAAUUCUAAAGGAUGAUUUUCCAAAUUCAUUAUGCGCUUGAUGUCAAUUAAUCGAUGACAUUUUUGGAUUUUUCUAUAUAGAAAUAAAUAUUAUGGGCUUUGCUCAUGUUUUUAAAAAAAAGACUCCUAUAAAAAUUAUAAUUUAUCCAUUUUAUAUAGGGGAUUUAAAUUCUAACUUUUUUUUUCAAAUCAUGCAAACUAAUUAUCCAAAAUUAAUCAAGUGAUAAACAUCAAUUUAAACAUAUUUCAAGUACUUAAAGUAUUAUUGAUUAUCAUUUCAAAUGUGCAAACUUUUCCAUGAUAGAAUGGUUGAAGUAAAAAAAAGUAUAAAUAUAGUUAUAUAGUUAUAUAGUCUAUAUUAAUUAUAUAUAAUGUUUCAUAUAAUUAUAUUAUAUGUAUCGAUGGAUAUAUAUUAUAUUGAGUGAGUAGUGAUGAGUUAAGUGACAGGCAAUGAAGAGAAUUAUAUUUAUUUAGUGAGAGAGAAUUGAAAAGGAAGUGGGUAGCCAUAUAGUUCAAGUUGCAAGAAUGGGUUUAGUGACAAUUCACAAAUACACUGACCUCACAGCUUACAAAACUUGGAUCCCAUCAAUAUGAACAAAGACUUCCCAUUUCAUUUUACACCAACAUUAAUUACAAUCAAAUCCAUACAUUUUUUAUAUUAUAAUAUAUAUUUUUUAAAAUAUAUAUAUAUAUGAUCAAAUGAAUAAAACUAUAUUGACAAAUUCAGUAAAAUCACUGUAAUUAUAAAUGUCUUUCCUAAUAUUGUUAUUUAUAUAUACAUGUAUUUCACAUUAUUAUUGUUAUUAUUAUUAGUUUGUAGAAAUUGACUCAUACCUCAUCUAAGCUUACGGUCCCCUCCCCAAUAAUGGUUAUUUGAUGCUUAAUUAAUGACCCCUUUUUAUACUUAUGUGGCUCUCAGUUUUAAAAAUAUUAUAUGAUAUAUAAUACCAUUUUAAAAUUAUUAUAUUGAUUAAAAUAAACUACAAUUAAACUAUAACGAACCAUUUCGGAUAACAAUUUCACAUUAACGUCCGUUUUUUUUAUAAUUUGUGUUUAAAAUAUAAAUUAUUUUAGUUUGUGUUAUAAAUAUCACGUGAGUUAUUUUAGUUUUAUAACAAAAAGUAAAAAAAAUAUCUAAAUAGUGUCCAACAAAUGAAAGUUUUAAUAUGGUGUUUACCGAAACUAAUUGGGGUUAAUGAGAGAUUUAUAUUGAACAUGUUUUCAUGAUUAAUUAGAAUCUAAUUUUCAAAAUGGAAAUUAUAAGAUUUGCUGGUUUAAUUGCUUUCAUAUUUUUUUGUAUCGGUUAGGUUAGAAAAACACAUGAACUUCUAAUCCACUUUUAGAAACAAAAUUGAAUUUUAAAAAAAAUAAAAAAAUCGAAUGGUGUUAUCAAAACGUCAAUUAACGAUUAAACUUUGUUUUUCUCAUAUACACAUAAUUUUAUGUUACUAUCAUUCCUAAUGUUAUCCACUCGUCUUUUUCUUUGACGAAGAAAAUAAAACAAACAAAUAAUCAAAUCGUUUUUGCAAAUUCACACAACAAUGGUUUCAAAUAUUUACAAUAAGAAAGAAAGGGAAAAGAUAAAAGAUUCAAAAUACCAAUAAAAUAAAAUAUGAUUUUUACCUCUCAAAUUUUAUCCAAUUUCUAUUUUUGAACCAUCUCUUUAAAAGCUGUUUUAAGUUUUUUUUUUUUAAGUCUACUUUUAAUUUUGAUCAUUGAAUUCUAUCAAACACUAAUUAAUCUAAAAUUAUCAUCAAAAUAAGGCUUUGGGAUAUUAGAACCACUCUUUAUUAUUAAAUUCACUACAAAAAGAACACCUUCUCUAUUUUCUGCCAAUUAAUCCCACUUGUUAAUUUCACAUCUUAAUUAAUUAGGUAUUUCAAAUUCCAUUAGCUUAAAAUUUUCACCCAUUAUUUAUUAUCAAAUAAGAUUUUGUAUUAGAAAAAAAAAAAACCAUGUUGAUUAGUUUAAUUUUGUGGUUUAGUUUGGUAUUAGUUCAAUUCAUUGCAACUGUUUUGACUUUUUUUAGAAACCAAACCCCAUAAUUGUUUUGUUUGUUUAUUUAUUCAUUUAUUACACAUAUAUCAUCACAAGAGCUAAGGAAUUUGACUACUAACCCAAUUUAAUAAGCUUGAAGUUUCAAAAGUUUAAGAAAAGUUUAGGAUUGAAUCCUACAAAAUAAUAUAUAAAUCAUAUGUACAUAUAGCAAUUUUUGUUUUAUUUAUGUGCUUACUUAUGAUUAUGAUUGAGAAAUGUUAGUAUAUCGUCGGACAAAGUCGUACAAGUUAGCUACAUCAUGAAUAUAUAACUUACAAGCGAAGACGACAACUAUCUUUAUUCUUUUAAGUAUAAGACUUUUAAGAGCGAUAACACAAACUAAAAGUAAAGUCACGAGAGUUUAUACCUAAAGUGAAUAAUGUCAUCAAUAUAAUUCUAAAAAAUUUAGUGGGUUGUUUUGUGCCUUAUAACCAACAUCAAAGUCAUGCCUUUAAAGUCUAACAUGGCAUUACCAAUAGAAUCCUUAUAUAUUAAAUAAAGAUGCAGUGAAAUUUCGAAGGUAGGUCAUAAACAGGGUGAUAAUUGUUAGAUGAGAUAGAUGUCUAUUCAAAGGAGAGUCGAUAGUCCAUUGUUUUGAUAGAAUCAAGAUUAGUUGGUUACGUCACCACCAUUAGGUUUAUACCUAAAGUUAACAUUGAAAAUAUUUCAUCCCUAACCUUAAUUAAGAGUCCCUAUAUUAUUAUUUAGAUAGAAUCAAUAAAGAUACUCUCGGAUUGCUUAAUUGAAGUACAUAAAUCUAACCAAGGGAGAAAAAUCUCAUUAGAACUUUAUUAAUACAAAGUAACAAAAGCCUUAAAGCUAUUGGUUGAGUUGGGUGAGCUUUGAUUCUAACCCACUCAAAGUAACCCUCAUUUGGCUGUUAGGCUUUGUGAGUUUUCUAAUCAUAUAUACAUACAUAUAUAUAUAUAUAAUUUUCCCAUUUUCCUAUUUUCCUAUUUUCCCACAACCACCAAUUUAUUUGGUUUACCCUCCCCCAUUUUUCAGGCACAUCUUCUCCAACAAAUUAAAAAUAUACAUAAGAUUUAUUCAUGAUACAAGAACACUCUCUUGAAAUAUAUAUGUAUAAAUUGUUGCCUAACUUUGUAUAUUAUUAUACAAAUUUGAGUAAGUAGUGGUAGUAAGGUGGAGCAGCUUAAAGUCAAGUAUGAAUUGAAUUUGUAUUUAUGUACAACGCAUCCAUACCAUUGGUGGGAAGACUUAAUUAAAUUAAUUGGUGCCGUCUAAUCAUAGGGUUAUGCUAUCAAAUAAUGAAUCAAACCACAUAUUUCCUUUUAUUUUAUUAAUUACAUCGAUUUGAUAAAUAAAAUAAGUGUAGAGUCGACCAACUUUUUUUUAGACGUAACAGAAAGUAUAAGAUGAGAAGUCAAAUCUAAAAGUAAAAUUAAGAAAGUUGCACCACUAUUUCUAAAAUGAAUAUGAAAUAUAUAUACAAGAAGCCAAUUAGUAAAGAUAUGCCAGUGAAGGAUGGGUAAAGAAAUUGGACCCUUGUGGUUCAAUUGACCCGUCAUUAAGUGAGGUUGAGGUCAACUUGUCUCAUUCUUUGAAACUCUAAAUUAUAUAUGUAACAUCAUCUGUGAUCUAGUCUCAAUUCCAAAAAUAUUUUAACCAUUCUUCUAAAACGCUGAACAAAAUAAUUUAGGUUCAAUCUUCUAUAGUAUUAGAAGUAUUAGUGUAUCAAUGUAUAAUGUUUUAUUAUUUCAAUUGUUUUGUAACUGAAUACAUACUUUUCUAAAAUACAAAUUUAUCGUCGUAAUAAGAUUUAGUAAAUUUCUUUAACUAGAUUUUGUCUAUAAAUAAUCAUUAUGAAUAUUAAAAUAGUUUGACAAUAAUGCAAUUAUCGAAUCUUAAGGUAUGGACUUAAAUAAACGGAACCAACUAAUAAUACCUUAUUAUAUACGACUCUACUCGUAACUAAAAAAUAUUUGGCUUUGUAUAUUAUUUAUAUUACACUAAUUAAUCUAUGUGUCAGAAAAUUAUUGGUUAAUAAUUUAUUUUUAAAUUUUGGUUAAGAUAAUUAGUUAGUUGUGGUUUGAAAAGUAUUUUGUUGCGUCCAAAUUGGGAGUUGGGUCGACCCGGCCCAGCAAUAAUCGGGUUCACAUUAAGCUUCAAGCAAAGGUAGAAAAAAAGUAAUUGAAAUAUAUUAUAUAUAUAUAUAUAUAUAUAUAUAUUAUAUUGCUUGAAAAUUAGUUUAUGACAUCAUACCUCUAAUCUAUAAAUCAUAAUAUAAAACUUUAAAUCGUGGGGGUUUCCUUGAGUGAAAUAGGCAAUGGUUUAAAUAUGUCACUUUCUUUUUCUCUCUCAAGCAUUUAUUAAUGACCAUAUAUCUUAUUUUGUAACUUGUUUUUGUGCAUUCUGUGAGCUUAAUUUAAAAAUGAAAAAAAGAAAAACUCUUUUUUGGAAGAAAAAAUAAAACUAAUUAAAUCAUAUCUACACUGCUAUAAAAUACUCAAAUUUGAAGAGUGGACAUGAAAUUAAUUUCUUUUUUAUAUAAGGAUUUCAUAAAGUAUUUACAAACAUAGAACAAUUUGUCAAAAUUUAGAAUCACCUUUUUAGAGUCUAAAUCAAUAAUAAAUCAUUUUGUUAAUAAAGAUAUAUUAACGAUAGAAUAUAUCAUUUCGAUGUAGAUUUUGUUAUAUAUUUGCUCUAACUCUUUUAAGAAAAAUACUAAAUCAUUUAAUUAUUAGUUAUGAAAGUGUUACUUGAUAGGAUUGCCUUACUUUCUAGUCGCGAGGUUCAUGAAGUACUUCUUAAGGUAAACAGAGGAACGAAGUUAACAACUCCAACUCGUCCAACCUUUAACCAACCCUCUUAAAAAUCAUUAAUUAAGAUAUGAAAUUUGCUUAGUUAAUUAAUUUCCCUUUCUACUAAAUUAAUGAAUAUAACAAAUACUUUACUGGAGUAGAGAUUGAAAAAGAAGAGGGAGAGUACUCUGGGGAAGUAUUAAUAUAUAUAGAAAAAAUUGAUAGCAAAAUAUUUGAGAAGGAAGCAAUGAAAAUGAAAAGAAGAAGAAAAGUUUAUGAAUAAUAAUGUGUGAAUUAGGGUUAUAGAAAGUAGAGGGCAGACCAAAAGAAGAAGAAAGAGCAUUGUAAUAUUAUUAUCACAAAGUCACAAACGUAUGGGACUCAUUCAAACACACACACACACACACACACACAAUAGAGAGUUCACAACCAAAGUCUCAAGCAAUAAUAUAAAAAUAAAAAGAAUGAGGUGGCGCAUAUAAAGGGCGUGAGAAAGCAGAAAUUAAAAGCCAUAAACACAAACCCCUUUCAACUCAUCCCAACUAGCUUUUCUUGUUUUUUCGCCAAUUUAGGUUGCCACUUGAAGCAACAAAUUAAAUUAAAUUGAUUAUCAAGUUUUUUAGGUACCAAAAUAAAAUUACUUCCCUACAUCUACUUAUAUAAACUUGUUCCAUUAGUGUUAUAAGUUGUCUUUCUCUUUUUGCUUUUUCUAUAUAGUUGGAUUGAAUUGGAAAGAAUAUUUAAGUAAAUUACAAGUGUAAUUCGAAUAAUAGGAAGAUGAUACGAAAAAUUCUUUUUCUCUAACCAAUACUUGAUAAAAGAGCAGUCUAAACUAUUAUUUAUAAUUGGAAAAGAAAAAGUCACUCAUACUGUUAACAUUACAUGGAACUCUUUUUUCUCUCUCACGAGUGGGCGGCUUUCAACCCUUCAUUACUAAUAUUAUAAAUAUUAUAUAUACACACACCCACCAUUUCCUACUCUCUCACUCCUCACUUCUUUCUUUCUUUCUCUCUCUCUCUUUCUUACUUUUCUCACUUCAAUCCUUACAAAAGUUUUGAUUUUGAUUGCUUUCAUGGAAACCCCAGAUGAGUUUAUGCCUUCAAAUCAUCAAAUCCAUUCUAUUCUUUCCCUUAAACGCCGCCGCCGUAACAAGCGUUUACGCCUCCUUUCUUCCCCUCCCGAUACUACUUCUUCCUCCUCUUGCGGCGGCACCGACGAAUUCCCUGCCCCUUCCUCUUCCAUCUCUGGCGGUGACACCAAUAAUAAUAAUAAUAACAAUAAUCUCCUUCUUCAUCAUCAUCAUCAUCAUCAUGACGAUCAUCAUGAAAUCAGUACUGAAGAGGAAGAAGAUAUGGCUAAUUGUUUGAUUCUUUUAGCUCAAGGAGAUUCCGCCGUCCACCGCCGACCAACGGCCCAAAAUUUUCAACACCCUCUCAAAAUUAAUCCCAAAACAUCAUUCAAUUUUGAGAUGGCUAAAACCACCUCUGGAUUUUAUGUUUACGAGUGUAAGACUUGUAAUCGGACUUUCCCUUCUUUUCAAGCCCUCGGCGGCCACCGCGCUAGCCAUAAGAAGCCGAAGACGACGACGAUGGCCACCGCCCUGGAGGAUCAACCAGAAGAGCCACAAUUGAUCAAAAUUGCGGCAUCUCCAGUACAGAUUCCAACCAAAACGGUGACUGCAGGAGCGAAUUUUCAAACCCACAAGGGCGGAAAAGUACACGAGUGCUCUAUAUGUGGAUUGGAAUUCACUUCAGGUCAAGCAUUGGGAGGACAUAUGAGGAGACAUAGAGCUACAACCGCCGUGUCAAGCGCACAACAAGUAGUCGUGGCUACGAACACGGAGGAGGAUAAUAAUACUAAUCAUCACCAUCACCAUCGUCAUCGUAAUUCCGUUGAGAGGAAGGAAAGAAACAUUCUAGAAUUGGAUCUGAAUUUACCAGCGCCGGAGGAAGAUCUCCGGGAGACAAAGUUUCAAUUUACGGCAACUCCACAAACAAUCGUCUUCUCAGCACCAACACUUGUGGAUUGUCAUUAUUGAAGAAGAAGAAAAAAAAAAAAGAAGCAACAACAACGAUCCGGCCGGCCAAAUAUUGGGGGGGGGGGUUAAAUUGUGAAUUGUGUUUUUUUAUUUUUUAUUUUAAAAUUUCUUUUAAUUACAGUUACUUAUUAUUAUUAUAUAUAGUGAUUAAAUAUAUUCUUUGAAGCUAUAUAUAUAUAAAAGAGAAAAGAAAUAUUUGGUUAUCUACCCAUUGAAAUUGAGUAAGAGUAUGGUUAGUUGGGUGUGUCUUCUUAUUAUGGUUACCUGUUUUCAUUCAUGAAAAGUGGGUGAUUUUUUAUGUCACUUUUUUUUACCUAUAUUUGUUUUAAAAUAACAAAAAAGAUAUAAUUUUUAUCUUAAAAAUAGUAAACAGUGAAAGAAAAAAAAGAAGAGAAAAUGUGAUGAGAUGAGAUGGGGGUUAGGGUUUGGCAGCUCCACCACCAGAUUUAAAAGCUGUUGUUUUGCAUAUGCUUUGCUUGGCUUCUACAUAUGACUCUCUCACUCAGUCUCUCUCUCAUAUUAAAUGACAAAAAAAAUACAUGGAUGGCAGGCUGAGUUGGUAACUAAGCUAUGCCAAAUGGAUCCACCUGUCUGUCUCUGUUGGUGGGUUAUUGUAUUUUAAAAAGAAAAGAAAAGAAAGAGAAGAGAAUAGUACAGCUCAAAUUGAGUUCUAAGCCUAAGUGAAGUGACCAACUGUAUUAUCCUAAACCCUUAUUAUCUUAUAAUAGAAGCUAACUUUUUAAAACAAACAUUGGGAAAAGGGUUGUGUUGGGUCCCACUCAUCCUUCGGUAGGUCCUACUCCUUCCGUCCCCUUCGUUAUUCCCGAUAAUGACUCUCUCUCAACCUCUUUACCUCUAACCCAUUGGGCUUUGGAUAAGUGGGCCUCCUCUCAGGUCCAUUCCUUCCUGGGCCCACCUUUCCUUUUGUUGGUUGGGUUCUGGGUUGCCACGUGUUUACCUCUUCCUCUACUUACACUACUUCCACUCACACUCGGUAACUCAUUUUAGUACCUUCAUCUACUUACAUGGCCAUGCCAUCAAAAGUACGAAACUUUGUUAACACGAAUCUAGUUCAAUUUGUUUAGAUAUGUACUAUACAUUUCUAAAGAUGAUGUUUGAAUUUUUCCUGUUGUUAAUAUGAGAAUUAGACCCAAAGUGUUAGUAGGUAUAACACAAUGUAAAAGAAGUUUAAUUUGUAGUAAAAUUUAGAUCUACCUCUUUGGAGUCUAUCAAUGAUAAUAAACCUCAAUCCUUAUUAAGCAACAGAUUCUUCGUUGGAUUCGACGUUUGUUCUAGCCAUUGCGAAUAAACAAUUGGUAGAACUUUGCAACUUGUUAGAAGGUGGGGAUUUAUUAUAUGCUUCCCCCACAAUAGCUGAAGUGAACCCUUUAGAACAGUUGCUAAGCUUUGGGUCUCAUGUAUGAGUAGAAAUUCAUCCUACAAUCUCCCCCCCAUCUUGUCUUAUGUACUUCCCUUUGCAUUUCUGCUAACUGAACUUGAUUCCACCGACCAUACCAUUGAUAGGAGCUUUUGUUGCUAAUAAAAUUUGUUAUAUUUGUAAGUUAUUUAAAAUUUUUCUGUACGUCAAAUUAUUCAUAGAAGCUUGUUUACAAGGCUAAAAUACAAUUAGAAUUUAAGUGAUAUGUUAAAUUUAUCUGGGAAUGAGAUCACGAAGAUGAUGUGAAAGAGAAGUGAGUUGAAAACGGUGGAAAAAGAACGUAAUAUGGGUUAGAUUACAAAUGGAAACCGAAGUUCUCAAUCUAAAAACAUGAGUUUGAGAGUACAACCCGUUACAAUCUGUCAGAAAACACCAUAUUACUGUUAAAAGUGUCACCCGAAGCAAUUAUCCAAACAGAAAAUAAAACUUAGUGACAUUAUUGUGUUUGUAUCCAUCACAUUCGUUUCACAUACAAAAAAAAUCAAAUAAUAUAUCAUGUCAAAGGAAUGGAAGAGAGGAAAGAGAGGUUAGCAUUGAUUCUCUUUGCAUUUAAACACAUAAAGUUGAUAUCCAUUUGUUCAUUAUAACUGUAUGCUCAAUUAUUUUGCAAAACCUAUAGUGAGGAUGAUUGGGCGAACAUCUAAUAAUAUACUUUUAUAGGUCAAGCUUUUGAAUUAAUUUCAUUCACAGACUUAGGUGAAAGUUAGGAAAGCCUAACACAUAUAUGUGUAUGAAUUGCAUUUGUUUAGGGAUUCUUUUAUGGGUCCAAAUAAAAGAAGAAGGUUCAUGAUUAGCACAUGCAUGUUGUAUCAACCCUAAUCCCCCAUCUUAUCAAAUAUCAAAACUUUAGUACUAUGUAGAUUUUACAGAACAUAAAGGAAAAGGGCCACUAUUUUAGAACAUGAUUUGAUAUUGACAUUAUUCAUAUAUACACACACAUAUAUAUAGGUGAAAACAUAUGGCAGACUUACUGACAAAUGAGAAGAUGACAAGUGGACACUUUGCAGUUGUAACAUCUGACAAGAAAAUUAAAAUGUUUGGUCUGGUUGGGCUGGCAAAAUGCAAUGUAAGCAAAUCUUAAUAAUCUAAAAUGGGAGCAAUAUUUGGUGUAUACUAUACUAUCUAUCUUAAUUUAAUUAGAAGUGCUACAUAUUUAUAUUUAUUGAGCAAUACCAACUUUCUAACUUCUCCUCCAUCCAUCACAUUUAUCAAAUAACUCUCAAUCUUUUUCUUAAGAAAAUAUAUUCAUACUCCUUUCGUCAUUAAUUGCUUGUAGUAACGUAUUAUAAAAGUUAAUAAUGAACAAAAGAAAUUGAUACUACAGUAGUACUAAUUUUUAUCACAAUCUUUCCUUUACUUUAUAUCCGCUUUGUAAUUAGCUCCAUUUACAAGAAACUCAAUCUUAUAACUAACCAAAUUUAAGAUAUAUUAAUCUCAUACUUAUGUAAAGAAUUUAGAGAAUAAAAUUAAUGUUUAGAAAAUGAAAAGAGGAAAAUAUAAUAAAAGUAAACUAAAAAGUAGAACCGACAAAAGAGAGCGGUUAAAAUAAAGAAAUUAGAAGAGGAGAUAAAGCGGUUGAAAAGUAAAUGGGUACAACCCGACCCACUACUGCUCUGUUUUGCCGUCUAAUUGUUUCAAGGGAUAGUUGCAAAUUUAGCCAUUAAAUGCAAAAUAAUUAAGUAUAUAGCAACAUGUUAAAAAAAUUACAAAUAUAGCAAAAUUUAUCAAAUUCUAUCAAUAAUAGAAGUCUAUCACCGAUAGAUCAUGUUGUAAAUAUUGAUCUAUCAUUGAUAGGUCAUACAAAUCUAUCAGUGAUAUAAGUCUAUCAGCGAUAGUUUGACUAUAUUUGCAAUUUUUUUAAAAUGUUGUUAUAUCUUUAAUUAUUAUUUCUAAAAUGUCAUCAAUUAUAAUUACCCUUGUUUCAAUACCUGACCAUCAUCUCUCAAAACCCAACCCAAAUAACUCCACCUUUUUCUAAACAAAUAUUAUUGGUUUUAAAGUAAAAAGUGCAUUUUUGUUUUAACAGUGGUAUAUAUUUUUCUAAUUCGUCUGUGUUUUUGUUCUUUUUGGAACAAAUACUAGUUUAUAUCGAUUUAAAUCUUAAACGGGUGAUUGUAUCAAUUUAACUUGUCUAAACAAAAUAUAAUGCACGCGUUUAAAUUGAUAUAAACUCUAAAUUUUCAGGUAUAAUUCGAAAAUUUUCUUAUUUAUUUUUGUAAUAUCCAUUCUAUUGAGUUUAAGCAGCCAUCAUUGGUUUAAGAGUAAAUAUCAUUUGGAUGUUUUAUGUUUUCAACUUUAUUUGAUCUCUUCUUUUCUUCAACUUUUAGUUUGGUUUUGUAUAUAUAGUUCACGUACCUUUUUUUUUUUUUUAGAAAUAAUCAAUUUUUUUGUUUAGUGCAUCCUCUUAAAAGUAUGGACAAAAAUAAAGGUAAAAUUUGAGAAUAUGUAGUCUAAGAAUAACAUUUAAACUUUAGUUUAAAAAUAAAGUGUGAAAUGCUAAAUCUUGACGUUUUAUAUCUUUACAAUUGAAUUACAUUCAAUGAGUUGCUGUGGUGUAGUGGUUAUCACGUCAGUCUUACACACUGAAGGUCCCCAGUUCGAUCCUGGGCAGCAACACUUUUUUUAACUAACAAAUUGUUUCUUCAAAGUUUACAAGAAACAAGGUAAGGUAAGAAUUAAUUUUUAUUGGAGGAUGGUAGAAGCUUGAAUCUUUGUCAACUUCUAGUAAAAAUGAAUACUUAUUUGGUGAAGUAGAAAGAUCAAUUUAUAAAAUUGUGCUAUAAAUUUAUUUAAGUACAAGACCAACUCAUAGGGAUGGAUACAAUUGAAUGAAUGUCUAAUACUUUUAACCCUAUAUAAAUUACAAUUGGAAUAAAAUUUUAAUUUUGGAGAUAACAAUAUAAACAAUGAAUAUAAGUUCAUAGAUUCUCAAAACACUCUAUUUUGAUAUGAUUCACCAAACUUUUAGUUUCUAUUGCCCAAUUGACAAAUCUCUAACUUUGAUAAAAAGUAAAAGUAUAUGUAUAUUGUUAAUCUAACUAUAUUUUAAAUUUACAUAAAUAUCCAUAAGUUUGUUGAUAUAUAUCCAUGAAAUUAAAACCCCAAUGCCUUUAUAAGACAUCAAUAUUUUAAUCUACAAAGAUUUGAUUUGUAAAUCAAGUGAACUACUCAACUGUUUCUCCAUAAGAGAGAAGAAGAAAAAUUCACGUAGUCUUCUUCUACAUUGAAAUAAACCAACAGAUAGAUUUGCAAAACCAAGCACGAUUCAAAAGAAAUCACUUCUUGGUGUAAGUUUGAUGGUCGGGUCCAACGUCUCGGGAGCCAGUGUUAAUAUAAGGACCUCGAAAAGUGGCCUGCGGCGAAAGCGGCUUUGUCGGAUCUAUAACUGGUUUUUUCGAAGACCUGAAUCGUAAUCCUUUUCAAUGUUAACUUCUCCAAAUUCAUCCAUUCAUUAAAGGAAUGAAAUUGUCAUUUACUUACGCCAUGUAAAAGGGAAAUGCUAAUCCAGCAGAUGCAAAGGCUAUCAGCCCAACGGCAACAAUCAAAUUCCGACGCCGUGUCAUCAAGUUUUCUAUGAGUGAACUGAAAAGAAAUCUAUAGAAUGAGUGACAAUUUCCAUGUAAUUCAAUCUAAUCUCACCUACUAAUUCUAAUUUAUUGGCCAAAGAGGCAAAGAAAUGAAUUUAUCAUUCGAUUUGGAUAACUUCAAGAAAGAGAAAAAGAGCUACUACCCCUACACAUAAAUGGUACUAAUCAUUGGAAUAGUUUUCUUGCUUGAUUCGAUGAUCCUCAAUACAGAAGAAAUAGUUCAAGAAUUACUAAAUAUUCUCCUAUAGGAGUGCAUCCAAAAAAAAUGAUUUGAUCGAGUACCGAGGAGUCAAAAACUAAUAGUAAUAUAAAGGUGAAGUAUUUUUAAGCAAUUAAAAAGUUGAUUCAAACAAAAUCUAACUCUACCAUCGCCAGGUUAAGAAGACAAAUAAAUUGGCAAAUACUAGAUUGCUUCCUCCUUUUUUGUUUUAAUAAAGAACAGGUAUUCUGGUUUUGAAAAGUUCAACAAAAAGGCCUCAAGUGCUUAUCAUCGGCUAAAAAGAAAAGAGGAAAGAACAAAACACAGGAGCCAAGACAGUAAGGAAAAGACUAGAAACAUUUAGAUGUAUAACUGUAAAGGCAGACAGCAAUUGAUAUUCUGUAAACUUAACCUGCUACAAAGAACUUUAUCAUACAAGAAACUACCAACCACCUUGAGUUGACAAGAAGAAGAGAAAAUGCUUUACAGAAAUCAAAUCAAAAUUUAUCGCCCACACCCCACAAUAUGAAUUGUUUGAAACAAGUGUGUCAGAUACUCUAACUUCGAGAAUAUCAUAAUGAACAAAUUCCAUAAUUAAUCUACCCAAUAUGAGAUGAGAUUAUGUGAAAUGACAACUUCUGAAAUCCUGCAGCAUUCUCAAUUAAUGACCAAGAGAGCUAAAUAAGGAUCCACAAGUACUAGAAAAUCAUAGCACUUCCGCAGCUAAUCUUAAACUGAGAAACUUAAGCCUCAAUCUCCAUGGACACAUACGCAAAUCCAGAUACAAAAGAACAGAUGUUUGAGCACAAAGCAGCAAUUUCUUCCGCUAACUAACGCAAAUUACAAAUAUCUGCCUAGUUUGUCCAUAAUUGAUAAUGAAACUCAUACAUUUAGCAGGUACAAAAUCUAUCCAUGCGGCGAGAAAAACAUUAGAAUCAAAAGAAACAAAUGGAAAUUAAAGCAACACCAAAGGAAUCGAGAAUGAAUAAAAAAAAAAAAAAGUAAAGUAGAAAAAAACCCUAGAUGAAAAGUAGAAGAAGACGGGGAGCUUACCGAAGGAAUUUGGGGAUGAGAGGAAUAAGCGAAUGAAGUGAAGAGGAGGUUCUUCAAAGAGAGAACAAUGGGACCUGAUACGGAAAUUGUUGAUCCAAGGGGUUCAGCCCUAAACCAUUCCAAGCCCCGGCUGGAAAUUAAAUUGUAAAUACUGGUGUAAAAAAGCGAACCGGAUUGGUUUGAUUUGGUUCGGUUCGAUUGGAUCAAUUUUCAUUAAAGUUCGUAUUGAAGAAGAAGAAGAAGAAGAAGAAGAACAUGAUAGAGUGCACAAUCCAAAAAAAAUAAAUUCCACCAAUAUCCAAUUUAUUUUUUUCUCAAUAAAUUUCAUUAGACCAAAAAAACAAUGGGAAAGAGGUUCUUUUAGGAGGAAAGACAAAUUAUUUUAAUCAAUUUUCUCUCUACUGUGUUAUUUUAAACUAUACAAAAAAAAGACCCAAAAAGUAAAAAUAUAUUACUUCUUUUAAACCGUUACUUUCUCGUUCAUUGAAAUUUGUUGAAACCAAUAUUUACACUUUUAUCUAUGAAUUUUCUUAAAAUACUCACUUUAGUACAUCCUAAUUGUUCACUCUUUGUUUGAAAGAAUGGUAAAUGAAUAAGUUUCUAUAAAUUUUGAAACAUACUUUAGUUUUAGAAAGAAUUUUGAAAGAUGCAACAAAAUUACUAUUAUUAUUAUUUAAUUAAUUUGAAUUGAAAAAAAAGAUUUAAAUAGAAAAGAAUGUUUAAAAGUAUAUAAACUAAAAGAAAAUAUAGAAAUAAAAAUAGGCUGGGUAAGGAAUUUGUGAAUCUGAUUACUGAAAGAAAACAUAAAUGAUAUAAUUUAUCUACUUACCAUGAACCAGAAAUUUGAAAUUUUAAACUUGCAAGAUUUAAAAACUCUUUUGCUUCUUAUCAUUCAAGUUAUAAAAUUGUUUGGGUAUAAUAACUUUUGAUUCUCUCCCCUCGUAUUUAUUAAAAUGAUAAACAAAAAUAAAAAGGGGAUUGGAGCGGGAAAUUUUGUUGGCCAUAACAUUGACCGGCUCACCAAAUUUAUGACUAAAGAAACCUUUACCAGUCAUUGACACUCUCGCCAAAACCAAACCCCCACCGAAACUCCGAUCUAUAUCGUCCAAAUUCCCAUCAUGUCAACGCUCCACCGGUCACCGCCGUCCAGCGCCUCUCCCGAAACCCUAACCCAAUCCAACAACCAAAUCGAUCAACUUCAUUUCAACGACGAAGAUGAAAUCAAUCUCCUGAAUUCCUACCUCCAAAUCUCCAGAUCCGAAAACCCCACCAAGAAUUCUCUCCCCACUCUCGAUUCUCAGGCCUUCGACCGCCUUCAGACCGCCGUCGGCCCCAAAUUCUCCCACUCCGUCAUCGCCGAUAAGCUCCACCGACUCAAACUCCUGUACCACAAAUUCGCAAGAACAAAGUCCUUCAUCAAAACUCCUCACCAACGUCAGAUCCUCGACCUAGGCCGCAGCAUCUGGGGAAAAUCCCCCACACCUGUAACAAGAAAACCACAGGUAAUUUCACCUUCAAGGUUACUUUCACGAAGAAUCAAACAAAGAUCAAUCACUAGAAAAGAAGGGGUUGGGGUUGAUGUUGAUCUGAAGAACUUUCCUGUUCUUGUGGCUGAAUUUUCUCGGCAGUUUCCGGGGAAUGGGGUGUGGAGAGAUGGGCUGAGGAGAAUGAAUGAGAAGAAUUUGAAGGAUAUGAAUGAGAAAUGGGUUUUGUUGCAUAUUGAAGGGGCUGAGCUUAAGGCAAGAAGGGCUGCUUUAUUGAAGGAGCAACUUAGAACUACAGAAACUAAUGAAGAUGUGAAUUAGAAUUAAUUUCUGAUUUGUACAAUAGAUAGUUACAGACAGAGAGCAUUUUGUUAUUGUCAAUGUUGUUGAGUUCUUCCUUGUAUUUUCGAUUAUGAAGUAAUGGCAGAACUUAGAUUAGGAGCACUUGUAUUGUAUGAUUGUAUUGUUAUUAAAUCAGCAUGGUCAAGAUUUGCUGAUCAUUUAAGUUUGAGAUUAUUUUUGUUCUUUUUUUCAAGGCUCUAAACAAAACAGAAAACAGGUUCCUAUUUAGAAUUUCGACUCAAAGUAAUGAUGCACUUAAUAAAAAAGUUUAGAUUGGUGCUACUAAUUUUUACUAAUUCAACCAAUAAUUUUAUUGGAUAAUUUUCAUGAAAACCAAAUCUAAUAUCUUUGAAAUCCUACCAUUUUCGUCACAAAAAAAAUUGGCUCAUGCGGAAUAUUCUUAUUUACCAUUCAUUAGUUGAACCGAUAGCAUUCAUCUAAAAUUUGAAAGAGAUAUAACCUUUUCAAUACCCAGGCCGCUGAGAUUCAUUUAUACUGUUCCAAUCUCUUUGGCCUAAAUCAUAAACCAAAGAAUUUAAAACAAAUUUCACACCAUCCAAAUGAGAGAUGUAUGUGGCAGCAAGCAGUUCACUAAAGUGGUACAAAUUCUCAAGACGGAUGUUGCAAAAAUGAGAAACUAGCAUACACUCAUUAAAAGAAAAAGAGCACGAUCAUGAUUCACAAUCAACAAAAUCCAUCUUUUGUUAUAAAAAUAAUAGAAGUCACACACCAUAAAAAUAAUUCACCUCUGUACAGAAAGUUAAAGAUCAAGAUCCAUAAAACCCAUUUUUACUUCUAAAUUCAAGGAACCACAGUGUCCGGCAAAGAUACGGAGCAUAUGCAUAUAUAUAUAAGCCUCCUCUACAAACAUACAGAGUUCAAGGUAAACAUAGAAACUCAUGCAUAUUUACUAAGCAAGAGAACCGUAAAAUGAAGCAAUCAUUUAGCAGCAAGUGCAUUUUGUUGAGUGCGAUUCUCCUGUUGCUGUUGGUAGUUCAGGGGCCUCCUGAAUAGCAUGAUAUGAGGUUCGGGACAAUGAAAAGCAUAGUGCACCCACCCACGACUCUGCUGGACUCCAAUUGCACGCCAUUCAUUCUGCACAUAAGAUUAAAGGUCUAAGAGUAUAACAAAAUGCUUCCAUGAAACGAGUAGUAAAACAGAUUUGGAAAGCACCCUUUUGUUUAGAACAACUAACUUGAGUUCAAUAAGAAAGCCAAGAAAAUCAAAGAUGAUAAUGUUCCUAUGCUUAUGCCCAACAGAAGCGUCCAUUGCUCACUAAUUGCAUAGAGGGAAUUGCACAAUUGGCAAAUCAGAAGGGAUUUAGUCUAAUGAAUAAGUCAUAAGCCCUCAAUUCUCAAUCCUUUUUCAUAUAACUUCUAUCCGAAAUACUCAAAAACAUCGUUUCAACUUCAUGCAACCAUCAGUCAAAUCAAAGAGAGAAUAUCAAGAUCAUAUGAAAAUAUAAAAGAUUAGAAAUAAGGGGAAAAAUUGUCCACAUAAUAAUAUCUAUUUCAUAGGGUCUCUCAAGAGUGAUACCUAAACAGGAAAUAAGAAUUCAACUAUUGAACUAAGUUUCUUCUCAAUCAAUAAGAUAAUUCUUCCUUUCGUAACAAAAUCAAGACACAUAAAUUUGAAACUAAGAAAACAAAAUUGCUUACUUCCGAGAGCAGACGAUUCUUAGGAAACAACUUUGCCACUUCGGGUGGGAGAACCACGUGUCUGCACCAAUCAAUCCAAUUAGACAUUGAAGACAAAAAAAAUGACCACUUCCAAAUCCAAACAAUCCUUCAAGACAGCGAGUAACAAUGGAGUUGGAAACUGAGAGUAAGAACACAAUACCUGUACUCAUAAAUGUCGUCGAAGUACUUCUCAGAGUACUAAAUCUGACCCAUCUAUCACUGAGUGGUAUUCGUCUUGCAGAAUACAACGAAGCGGAUUCAAUGGUUUUGAUCGCGAAAAUGAAGCAACGUACGAAUAGUGAACUUAAGCCUCAACGAGGGCUCCAGAACCCGAUGAAAGGGCAUAUUAUUUAUAUAAAUACGCUCAAUUUGAAGUAAACGAAAUUCAAAGUCGGCCGAUCAUUUUUUGCCACAUGUAUCGCAGUAAGGAAUUUUUUUUCUUUUCAAUUUUGUACUUUAAAGUAUUUUAGCGGAUGAAAAAGUAAACGAAACUCAUAUUUUUUACUCUUCCCUAAUGGCUUCUAAAUAUGUUUGUAUAUAACUUUCAAAAGUUUAACUUUUCAAUGUUGUAUUAACACUUCACAUUAAUUUUUUUCGAUUCUCCAACGAACUUUAAAAAGGCAUAAUGAGCAAACUAGUUUCACAAUUAUUGCAGCUUACUUAAAUCUAAAAGAAGAGUAUAACUUGAUGGUAAAUGACAGUCUCUCCAAAGGUUGCAGAGUUUCAACCCCCUCCUACGAAAUGAAUUACCGUUUAAAUAUUAAAUUUGAACCUACAAGAGUUAUCAAUUCAUCUUACUAACAGAACAUUCUUUUAGAACAAUAACUUCAAAUAAUGGCAAGCAGAAUGUUUUAUACAUAUUUAAUAUUGAUAUUAAACUAACAACCCAACAUUUAUAACUGCUAUAUUCAAUUUCUCUCUUCAAACCCACAAUCAUGUUCAAAUUUAAAACAUUCAUGAUCACAGAUUCAAAGAAUUACAUCCUCUGGAUGCAAAAAAGAAAAAAAACACCCAUAAAGUCAUAGCAAAAUACACUAGAAAAAAAACACCCAUAAAGUCAUAGCAAAAUACACUAUGGAAUUUAAAGCCGAGAACAAAAUUUUGGAAAGCUUUCUUUACCCAAACACUUUCUUUCUCCACAAGCCUUCACCAAACUAACUACCAUCCUUUUUUGUUUUCCCUUUUUUCCUCCUGUACACUAGCAAAAAAAUUUGGUUAACCCUAUCAUUCAUCAGGGUUGUAUGACCAUUUUUCUGUACACCCAACAAAAAAAAAAGAGAAAAAAAGCAACACCCCUCCCCUUCCCUCCCUAUGUAUAGAUUUCAUCAGGGCAAGUGGGGUUGCUUCAUUUGCUUUCCACUGCAAAAGAAUUUCAUCCACUGUCAGUUACCUAAGUUCUACUAUGUUUCAUCUUCAGCUCCCUGGGUUUGCUGCACUAUUAAUUACACGAUAUUUCGGUACUUCUUUUUGCAACAUCGACGUCCCUUGGAAGAUCAUCAUUUGGUAAUGUCUCUUGAACUCCAUUACCUGCAACAAGAAUACAAAAGUAGUUCGUCACACCACUCUAUGCUUUUUUCCUUCAUCACAUGCAAUUUUCUAUUGUGAAGAUUAAUGUAUACCUCUUCAGGAGGUAACUUGCUAAAACCAAAUUUGUUGAUCCACAAUGACUCUGCUUCGUCUGCAGCUGGAAGAACUAGAUUCUUUACGUUCAAAAAUCCUAAGAACCUCUCGAUGCAUGCAUACAAAGAUUGGAAGUAGCCCUGGAAAUAGUCUUCUUAAUGAGCUACGCAAGUUCAUUUCUCAAUGAAAGAGGAAAAUCUUUUUCAAUGUGAAGAACAGAUGAUAGCUACCUGUCCUUGAAAGUUGGUAUCUGUUGCUACUAAAGGAAGCUCCGCUACUUCAGCCCCAAAUAUUCGAAAUAUUCCCACUGACACAACAGAUUCACUACAAGAAAAGACAAAGAUUAACUAAGUGAUAAGAUUCCAAAAAUAAAACGCAAACUUCAAAAAUUCUUACUUCACUGUUAGAACUGCACAGUAUAUCCCACCAAAUUCUUGACCCCGGAUGUUCCUCCUGCACGGCAUAGAAGUGCAGAAGAUUACUCUCAACAAUCACUAUAUCAACUUCAUAGCAAGAUGCAGAAACUAAUCAUUGAGAGAAUUAAAAAGGGAAAACAAUGAGUACAAUUCUUUACCCAUAAAGCAUCGACGGAAUGAAGUCUCUCCCGGAGGCUGAGUCAACAAUCGGAUCAAAACAAUCCUGGAUUUAUGGGAAAAAAACAAAACAGUUGGUAAGCAGAAGUAAAAAGAAUAAAGAGGCCCACAAAACAAUUCAUAUUUAUCAGUGCGGCUAAGAGUUGAUAAACUAUAGCUUUCCUUUCUAAAGGACGAUUGCUAAUGAUAGUCACUCACAUGGAAAAUAGAAACCGCCUUCGAAAGUAAUGAUCUAGUUUCAUCAGAAGACAGCAUUUUCCAAUUGAGGACCCGCCAUCUAAUUUCAACAUCGUUUAUGCUUGCUGAACCCUGGUCUUCAAUCUUUUUCUGAACAGAGACCAAAAUAGACUCAGGCAGCUUCUCUCCUCCUAAAACCACCAACUUCUCUAGGGCAGAAUGUAUUCUGUUACACUCCGGACAACAAAACCAUUUUCCUUGAGGAAGUUCCUGCAAGAACAGUUGUAUCGAGAUUUUAAAACUCAGAUCACAACAUUUACCACUCAAAAAGAAAUCUGCAGAGAAAGAUGGAACAGGGGAACACCUUCAGAUCUUCCAUGUUGUUUUCCUUUAAGCAACCAACAUGAAACUCCUUCUCACACUGGAGAAAACAUUGUCAUUUGGUACUUCACAGUUAGCGAACAAUGAUAAAAGGAAUCCUAUUCAUUAUUAACAAAAAAUUGUUAAACAAAGUUGAAAAAUAAUACCUGAUCACAGAGAAUAACAGUUCGAGGACCAAACCCUGACUUGCUAAAGUCGUGGCAUCUACAACAAAUGAAACUACCAUUUAGAACAUUUGAAGAAACAUUAAGAAAUAAAAACUAAAAAUGUACAAAUAUUGAGGUGCAAAAUGUGAAAAACAAGGCUCUUCCGAAGAAAAAAAAUAUACCUGCAUAAUGCACAUCCACCAACUUCCACUUCCAUAGUUUUGACAAUUCGAAUGCAUCUCGUUGUUAUCUGUUCAAUAGGAUCAACACCAGCAACCCUUCCAGCGGCAACAGCAUUGGCAUUGUGCUCCACAAAUUUUUCCUUUUGGAACAAAUUCUGGCAAUAUUUGCAGUACCAGAUACCAGUAGGGAUACAUUGUAAAGGAACACAAUCUGAAUUGGCCAAGCACAAAAAGUCAAAUGUAAAUGUAUAUGGUUAGAAUAAUGGGCUUAGGUCAUGUUGAAAGCCCAAGGGUAGUUACAUAAUUUACUUUGCACUAUUUUUAUUAUGUUAUUUAAGCAAGUGUUGCCUAUAAAUACUUCCACUUUGUAGCUUUAUGAGUAUUAGAAAAUAAUAAAAUUAUUAGAACUUGGUUUUUCUCCCUAUACUAAGGUUUCCAUGUAAAAUUGUGUUUGUUCUUCGUCUCUAUUUACGUUAUCUUGUGAUGUUUCUUCUUUAUCUUGUGAUGCAUGCAUACUAUAGGAGGAAUCUCAAAAAGGAAGUUGAGCCUUCUACUGUUCAGACGGCUCUAGUCCAAGAUUCGAAACCAAUAAAAGAUCAAGGUAUAACUAAUUCCAUUGACUCACAUAGUAAUAGUAGAAUGAGUAAGAAUGACAAGUCCAAGACAAAUUCAACUGACUCACAUACCAACAAUAAGGCAAGUGAGAAUGACGAUUACGAGACAGCUAUUCCAGAUGAUAUGGAUGGGCAGGGCAGUAUUGAUGGGGUCAUUGUAGAUAGAGAGAACAAGAUUAGUGAGAAUGAGGUUGUUGUUGAACAUACUGAAAACGAAAUUAAGUCAAACUAUUCAGAAAAUAUCAGUAGGUAUGAUCCAUCUCUUGAUCUUCCUACUGCACUAAGGAAAAGUACUACAUCCUGUACAAAGCAUUCCAUCUCUAAUUAUCUGUCAUAUGAGAAUCUCUCACCACAGUUUAGAGCUUUUACUGUCAGUCUUGACUCUACCACAAUACAAGGUGUUUACAUUCAAGUACAAAGCAUUCACUCAAACUUGGGGAUUGAUUAUGCAGAGACUUUUUCUCCUGUUGCAAAUGAAACACUAUUAGAUUUUUGUUGUCUGUUGCAAUGAAUAAGGAUUGACCCCUAUAUACAUGAAGCUCAAUUUAAUAAUCAGGUUUGCAAGCUUCAAAAGUCUUUAUACGGGUUAAAACAAUCACCAAGAGCGUGUUUUACCACUUUCAUUUAGUCUUAGAGGUACAACCCGGGGCACUCCUAUCACACCUUGUUCAUCAAAGUCUCCAAGACAGGGAAAAUUGUAGUAUUGAUUCUCUAUGUCGAUGACAUUGUGCUAUCUGGGAAUGACACUAAUGAAAUUAUUAAACUAAAGAAGAAGAUGGUGUUUGAGUUUAAAACCAAAGACUUGGAGAGUCUGAAGUACUUUCCCAAGAUGGAGAUUGCUAGAUGCAAAGAAGGCAUCUCAAUGUCCCAAAAAAUGUACACCUUUGGUUUAUUAGGUGAGACAAGUGUGCUAGGAUGUCGUCCUAUUUAUACACCAAUUGAGCUCAAUGCCAAACUCAAAAAUUCAGGUGACAGAGUUCCUCAUGAAAAAAGAAAUAUCAGCACCCGGUAGGAAAGUUGAUUUACUUAUCUCACACUAAGCCUGGCAUCUCCUAUGUUGUAAGCGCUGUCGAUCAGUUCAUGUGGCACCUUAUAAGGACCACAUGGAGACGGUUAAUAGGGUUCUAAGCUAUUUAAAAGCAACUGCUAGUAGAUGUCUAAGAUACAAGAAGACUGACAGAAGAUGUGUUGAAGUUUAUGCUGAGUCUGACUGGAUAGGAUCUAUUGUUGAUAGAAAGUUUACCUAAGGAUAAUGUAUUUUGUGUCGGACAAACUUGUUGCCUAGAGAAGUAAGAAGUAAGGUGUUGUGACUAGAAGUAGCGCGAAAGCCAAAUACAAGGCUAUGAGUUUGGGGAUCUACUAGGAGACCUGGCUCCAAAAGGUGUUGUCUGACCUUUGUCAAGACCAAGAGGUGCCUACGAAGCUUUUCUCUUAUAACAAGACAGCCAUUACCAUUGACAAUAACCUGGUCCAACAUGAUAGAACUAAACAUGUGGAGAUUGACAAACAUUUUAUCAAAGAGAAGCUUGACGAUGGUAGCAGUUGCCUUCCUUACAUAUUCUCAAGCCAACAAAUUGUUGAUAUCCUCACAAAGGGAGGGUUCCUCAUACAAAGCUUUGAUUGGUGUAUUAGCAAGUUGGGUCUUUAUGACAUUUAUGUUCCAACUUGAGUGGGAGUGUUAGAAAUAAUGGACUUAGGUCAUAUUGAAAGCUCAAUGCUAGCUACGUCAUUUACUUUGCCCUAUUUUUAAUCUGUUAAUUAGGUUGCCUAUAAAUACUUCCCCUUUGUACCUUUAUGAGUAUUAUAAAAUCAUUAGCACCUAGUUUUUCUCCUUGUACCAAGGUUUCCACGUAAAUUUGUGUUUGUUCUUUGUCUCUACUUUCAAUAUAUAUACUUACCAUAUGGAAAUAAUUGUAUUCUGCAUUACCGAGUGCUGUGAUGCAUAAAUGCAACAGCAGUACAUCUUAAUAUUUUGAUCAUGAGACUUAUAUUUAUGAAAGAGUAAUCAGUCAACAAAUAUACCGAAAGAGGAGAGAGGAAAGAGGAGAGAGGAAAGAGAGAGACAGCAGAGAUCUCAAAAUUUUGUGAAGAAACUACCAUUAAGAUACGACAUUUUUAACAGGAAGAGUAAUCACCUCUAUGAAAAGACCUGGGGCAGCCAUCACAACACAGCAGAUCCCCUCCAUCUGCACAAAUGCUACACAAGUCAUCGUUAUCAGUCAACGAGAACUUCCGUCCUUUCGAUAGAGAUAUGGACAACUCAUGCAGAGACACCCCAUUUGAUGUGUAAAUGUGCAAAUAUCUGCAAAGGAGGGUACACUAUGCCAAGUCAAUGCAAAACCAAUUAUAUCCACUAAACGAUAAUAUACUGUAAACAAAACUUUUAUUUCAUAUUUCAUGCAAAAUAUUUCUAUUAUUCAUAUACAAUGAUGUGUGAAAAUUACUAAGAGCACAAGCUGGGUAAGAUACAUUAAUUACUUAAAAGUAGGCUUGGAGACAUUAUUAUUUCUCUUAAUCUUCUUUAUUUCUUUUCAAUUUUUAGACCAUAACAUUUGUUAGCUAUUUUUUAUGAGAACAUAGCCGUUUGUGAACUAUUACUUCAUGCUCGUUUCUCAAUCCUAAAAAACACCCCAAAUACUAUAUACAACUGUUAGAAACAACAAAAUCUAAUUUCUUCUUCUCAUUCCAAUUGUCAAUAUAGAGAAAACCUUAUCUCAUCAUUUUUCACCUGUAAAUUGCAUAAAUAAUGUUUUUAUAAUAAAACUACAACACUAAAGGUUAGAAUAUUAUAUUUAAAAUUUAAUUAUCAUGAAAACUCAGUUUUUUCUUAGUUUUCUAUUAAAAAAACAAGUAACAAUUAACAAUGCAUGUUUGUUUCCCUUUUUAAAAGAGAGACAAAAAAGAGUAAUCUGAAACAAGAAAAGAGAUCGUGAACACAGUGGCCCUCUAAUAAGAACGUGAUGUUGUCCUUUCACUAUUUUAAUUAUAUAAAAAUUGCAGGAUAAAUUAUAUCAAAAUAAACUAGACAAAUACUCACGGUUUGCGCCUUGAUGCCCAACCAGCAUGAGCUUCAAAUUGUGAGGGACUAACCUACUCAUUAAGCAGAAGCCAAAUCAAAACUCUAGUAAACCUUCAGAAUCAGAAAUGUUUCAGCAGAAGAAAAGUACCUCAGAAUUGCAGCAGCUACAAAAAAUACCAGAUCCCUUUUUAUACCCAACCAACAAUUUCUGCAAAAUAAGAAUUAGAUGAACUAUACAUAACAUGAAAAUUAUUAGUAAGAACUAAUUGGUUACUAGUCUAUGGUUAAAAAUAAAUAAAUGAUGAAAAGAAAUAUGAAAUACCUGCCCACGGGCAUAGUAUGCAACUUCAGUUCCAUCAGGUAAUAUAUCUUCCUCAAACACUAACUUAUGCAAUCUUAGAUCCCUGUUUGAAAGAUACCAGAAAAUGUCAACGAGAUAAACUAUAACGAAAAGGAAAUAAAUAGAGUACAUCCAAGUGGCACAAGAAUUUAAUAAGGAACAAAUCACUAACUUUCUAGUUAUUCUUCCAUGAAUUUUACCACGAGUCGAAACACUCUUCGUUAUAGUGUCAGAUGACUUGGAAAGUACAUUAGGUUUUGGAGUUCUGCCAAAAACAGACAUAAGAAAUAGAAUUUUAGAAUACAUCAGCGCAAGAAGUACAAUAGCGGUCCAAGAUAAAAUAUGCAACAUUUUGAAUUUUGAUUCCAGAAACCAAUAAACCAUAAAACAUAAUGAGAUGAUCCGCCCAAAACUCUUUCAUGUAAUAGUGUGAUAAGGAUAGUAAAUCUAUUGCCUAGAAAUACAUGCAACAGAGUAUGAUUUCAAGGAACUUAUAUAUCGUGAGACAACCAAAAUUCUACAAAUUAAUACUGAUGUUUCAUAUCAUUGUUAAAAGAAAAUCCGUGAUUCCAGAGAGAGGAAAAUCCAUCCAUUUACAUGUGCAUUAGCAAACCAUAAGAACUUGAUGAGUCGAGUUUGAAAGGGCAAACAGAGGUGUAAUAGACAAUAGUAAUACUGGAAGUAGCAACAAACAGUUCUUUCACCGCCAUGAAAUUCACUCAAUGAAAUAACACAUUGAAUAAAAUUAUAAAACAUAGACAUGUACCAUUGAGAAUCUAUUUAAUUUAAAUACUUAUAGAAAAUUGAUGAUGGAGACUAAAAUAGAUCUUAUUCUUUGACUGAGAUAAUAUCGGACCUACUUCCUUUUAUUCACCUUUGGUGCAAUUUAUUCAACAAAAAAGAAAACCCAAAACCCUUCCCAUCGUGUCAUAUUCCAAAUUCUAAAUGUUCGUUGAUAAAAAUUUCUAAAAGCAUCAAAUGAAGCUAAGAAUUGCUAAUUACCAAAAAAGUAGCAACAUUUGUUUAUAUUGUUGUCACAAAACACUAAAUGGAAAAAGCAUCAGAAUCAGUAAAAACACCUGUCUUUACUAAAGACUAUAGGAGUGGGGCUGGGGCUGGGGCUCGGGCUCGGGCUUGAGCUAACCUGAGGCUUCUUUGAAUCCAUGCAUGAACAGCAAAGUAGCAUGGCAAUACCAGUGUCUGAUUCAGGAAUUCGACCUACAAUGUAAUGAGUUAAAUAUGUAAAUAUUUGACUGUUGGGUGUAGCAACCAAGUAGAUAAACUGCAUGACAAGCUAACCAAAAAUAAAAAGCAACCUUUGCAAUUCAAGCAGAUAGCAGUUCUCUUUACCAAGGAACGACCAAUUGCACUUUGGAUGAAUUCUUCUGUCUGGUCAAAAGAAAAAUUUUGGCAUGCAUUCAUGAUAUCCCGGAGGGUAUUCCCAGUCUCCAAGUAAAUGUACUCUGGUGGACGUUUAUUUGAGCUACCGGCAUGUAGUUCAAAUAAAGUAGGAGAAACAACCUGCAUUAUUCAGAUAUGAAUUAAAAAAAUCCUCGAACAUUUUCAUGUAUCUAACCAUAAACAAAACUUACUUCUUUUCCUUUGCAGUUGUUACAGAAACAAAUUAUCCCAGAGCCACUGAUUACUCCUCCAAGCCCAGUUUCUCCUAGUGCUUUGAUCUACAACGAGUCAGCAGAAGAAGGUAAGACAAAAGAGACAUUUUAGUUGACAAAAAUUGGAAGCUAAUACAAUUUGAACCAAUACCUUAGAACCUCUGAUGUAUCUUACUCGAAGUCCCUCCAAAAUACCUGUAUCCAGAAGGUCUUUUAACUUGGCGGGAAACUUCUUAGCAGACACUUUCUUCAGCUUUGUCUUUCCAAUCUUCACCGGAGGUGUAGCUAAGGGGCCAGGAAUAUCCUCAGGUUUGGUUUCAGUAUCAUUCGUGAUUACUUGCAUUGCCACACCCGUAUUACAUUUUGAAAGAUGUUCUAAGGACGUGGGCUCCACAUUCUGUUUUAAGGCCGAACGAGUAAACCUCUUGCGAGGCUGCUGAAACAUCUUCUUUCCCAACUGACCAUUAACAUCAAUGAUCGACUUCGACCCAUUAGCUGCUUCCUCUGAGGAAACAUUUUUACCCGCCUUCCCUAAAUCCGCACAUGUCGAAAGCUCUUCAGAUUCAUUCCUCAAGGUUUCCUUAGAUUCUUCCUCAUACGAGGGAUCCACUUUUACAUCGACCAAUUCGCUGUGUAUUGCUAAAUCCACAGUACGAUGGCUGCUUGGAUCCUCACUAUCCAAUAGUUCCUCCUUCGAUUCUUCUAUACGAAUUGCAUCCAAUUUCUCGUCCUUAGUUCCAGUAUCACCCGUAGAUUCAUCAACCUGACUCUUGGGUUCUUCAUCGCUUAUAAGGUCUACAAUAUCACUCUUGGCUUCCUCUUCACUCAUUGAAUCCGCCAUGUCCUCCAUUAUCUUCACCUUCUCAACCUCCCCCACCUCGCAACUCCUUAACUGGGCAGCCUCAUCCGAUUCCUCAUCUUCCUCCUCACCUUCUUUGGCCUCCAUCGUCCCUAACCCCUUUAACCUCUUCGGGGUGGGACUCUCCGGAAUCGCAUUAUGUAACUUCGUGGAACGAGUCCGACCUAAUGAUCCACAAAUCGUCGAUUGAACUUUCAAAGCAAAUGCAAACUCACGCUUCAGACCAGUCCGGACUCGUGAUAACACCACGAACUCAUCCGGAGCCGUACCGUUCGCCAUAUACCAUAUAGAUCAAUUAACCCCCCUCAAAUUAUUCCAGUUAUACAGAUUUCAAAAAUGAAUUAUCAAACUAAAACAAGAACACAAUAACGGUAACGUAAUACAUCCCUGACGCCUGUGAUUGAUUAGAUUUCAAUGACGUUACCAAUCGGAUAACCCCAGAUAAACAAACCAAUUAUGAUUUCAUUCUUUUGAUGAAACAACGCAGCAGAUAGGAGAACAUGAAAGGAAAAAAAACACACACGCACGCAAACUCAAAAAAAACGAAACAAAAACUAGGGUUUGCUGAACGUCGUGAUUUGAUAUUUUGGGUUAGGAAAGAAGGAGAAAAGAAUGGAGGGCACUGAGUCGGUUUCUUGGAAGAAGGUAAAACGAAAAAGGGAGAAGACAGAACCAGUUUUUGAUAAUACCGAAGAUGGCCUUAGAUAGACGACGGCGUAAAAUGAUUAGGGUAAUUAAACGACGUAGUAUAGGUGAAUGUUGUUGAGGGUAAUUUGGUAAGUGAAAAUAAACAGAAACGCAAUUGCUUCGACCACGCAGCUCCACGUUGUAAAAUAAAUAUUUGUUUAUUUUUGUGUGAAAAGAAGUUUUUUGAAAAACGAGAAUUUUCGCGGCUUAGACCUGAAGAGGAUCUUUACAUACACAUAGAAAGAAUCGCGUGCCACCCAAUCACAGCUUGCCAAAUAUAUAUUUUCUUUUUUAAUUUUCUAAUAUCCGCCGUGGAAUUCGCGGGAGAUUUACCGGAACUGGGCCGGAUUCACAGUUGGGAUGUAUAAGGCCCAUUUCACGAAUAUAUGAACCUCAACCGUCUUGGUUCGGGUCGGUUUACCUUCAGCUACCGUCCACUCGAAUCAGACCGCUCCGGUUCGGUAUUGGGCUUACAUGUAAAUUAUCUCAUUUCUUUUAGUCAUAUUAAACCUAAAAUAGUUCAAAUGUUGAAUUUAUUACUCUAUGUGGUUCUUGUAAAUAUGUUGACUUUUUAUUAUAGGUUUAGGUUUAAUAUUCUUUCCUUCUUGGCUAAAUAAAAACGAAUAGCUAUUCUCAUCUCGUUUUAUUAAUGUGUUAUGUUAUAGUAAACUUCUAAAUUAACAAUUAAAAUUUUAAAUUUUCUUUAAAUUAAAUAAAGGUAACGACACAUAAGUAAACAUGAAAUGAUAUAGAAUUCUUUAUUUUCACAUUUGGGCAGAAAACGUACUAUUUAAGUGGUUUUAAAAAAUAAACAAAAUCCACUCUACAUAAAUUUCAAGAUGUUUUUCCAAAGCAAAAACUUAUUUCCACUCUAAUUCUAGUAACUCGUACUAACGUGUUUUUCAACAAAAAUGGAUGGAAUGGUAUAUUAAUAUCAAGAUUUUGAGGUUGGUAAUGUACUAUUGAUGUCAAUUAAACUUUCUUAAAUUUAAAAAUUAUUGUCGAUAUUCAUUGAAUUUAAUGAUGCUGAAUCGACUCCGUAGUUAUCUAUAUAGAAAGUUGAGGAAAGUAAUUUGGACUAAGGAUAGAAUUUUAUUAUUGUCAUUCAAAAUCCAUGGAUUACUUUGAUGGUUUUGGCUUUCUAUAAUAAAUUAAAUUAAUUUGAUAAUUGAGGUAGGGUUGAAUCUUUAAUCAAUAAUUUAUUGCUCUAUAAACUCUACAAUUAGUGUAUGAUGCAAUAUUUCUAUUUCCUUUAAAUCAAAUAUAGCAUGUCAAUUAUUUACAUAUAAUACUUAUCUUCUGUCGUGUUUCAAUUAAUGUUUACGUGGAUUCGUGGAUUCGUUAAUGUAUACUUUGAACAAAUCUUUAAUAGAAACAUGAAUAUAACAAUGAUAUAAAAUAAACACAAAAUAACAAUAAAUACAUGUUUAAUUGAGAUUAGAUGUUCAAUCAUUCAUACAUGUUUCCUCUUAUACUAAAAGAACAAGUAACUUGUUUUUCAAAUUUAUUUUUUCAAACUCAAACCAUUUUAUCAACGGAUUUCAAUUAAAUAAAAAUCAGGUCAUAUCAAAAUGCUUAUAAGACACGUCAAAAUUUUAGAUUAUAUGAAUGUUUACCGGUUGCUAAAAAUGGUUGAAAAGCAUUUUCCAAAAAAAAAAAAUUCACAAAUUUAUUUAUUUUCAGUCCAAAUCAAAAGGCGUUUGUAUUACUCUUUUACUUAUAUAGUAUUUUUAUCCUCCAACAUGAUUCUACAUGCAAAAUCUACUUUAAUAAACUUAUACCACUUUAUUUUCUUUUUAUUUUUUGUCUUAAGCUAAACCCAUGCAAGAUAAACUUCAGAUCUAGUACAUAAUUUAAUAACUAUUUUUAUCUUAAUAUUCAAUAACCAUGAUUAUAUAUUUCAAUAUUGACAAUUAAAAAGUAAAAUUUAAACUAAAAUCUUCAUUUACUCGAAGAAAAAAGAUCACACAAGUUCACAAAAAAAAGAUUCAAAUUCGAGUAUCAAAAGGAUCCUCCAUAGUUUGAUGUACACCCCCAAGUAGUUGAGGGAAAAUAUGAAUAGUUUUGAACAAAUAGAACGGAAUCACAUCUGAAAAGAUGAAAUAGAGAGAAAAAAAAGUCGAUCUUAUUUUUCUCUGAAUUUAUUUUAUAAAUUAUUUCCCAUUUAUUAACCAACCAAAUCAAACUUCCCAAAAACAAAAAAAAAAAAACUAAAAUAUUGCACUCAGAUUUCCAUCACAGCUGAGAGACGUCACAAAUUCACAUCCAAUAAAUUAAAAGCCACAACACAAAAAUGCAUAUUUAUUUUUGAAACAUUAAAGUCAACAAGUAGUGAUAAUUAGCAGAAAGAAAAGACGAAGAAAAAAAAGGAUAAUCAACCUGGGAAUUGAGAGGAAAUUCCAAAGGUAUAAAAAUGCCAAAAGGAUUAGAAUUGCCCUGCAAACAAUAGCUAGCUAGACUUCAGCUGCUGCUUUAGCCCCCACUUCAACUACUUUUCCUCCGCCACCUCCGACCGCCGUUACCUGAGAUAUGUAUCGAUUAAAACACUACGGCUAGUCAUAAAGAGGCGGGCGAGGCGAUGGGCGCCGGCGCCACCGGUGGUUGUGUUGGAAGGAGAGAUUAUUAAAAAGGUGAGAGAGGGGUAGUGGGUUUGUUGUAGAGAAGAGUUAUUGGUUUGAAGCAUCUUGGAGGGUAUAUGCGUCAGUUCCUCGCAUGGAAACAGGGGACUUGUCGCAUCGGUCACUUCUGUUCCCUGUAUAGUUUAGAAUGUAACUGAGAAAAAUAAAUGGGUUUCAAAGGCUGGAUCCGGUCACCCGGUUGUGACCCAUUAUUCGGGUUUUGUAUUUUGAAACACAAGAUUGUCUACUCA
rnacentral:lncRNA from 1 species